rnacentral:lncRNA from 1 species
GUAAUUUUAGUAAAAUAUAAAUAGAAAAACUUCAAAUACCAUUCUUGUGGUUUCGCAAUUUCUCACUUUAGUACCUUAUGAUUUAAAGUGUAUCUGUUUCGUACUCUAUAGUUUUAUUUUUCUCUUUUUGUUAUCCCCUCCACUAAUUUGUUUGUUAAAUCAGUGACAAAGUUAAAAUUAAAAUAUACUAAAGUGAAUAUUCGAUAAAAUAUAGGUGGAGUCUCUGAAGUUUUUUGUAUAUGAUUUAACAAAAAGUUAACGGAGGAGCUGACAAAAAGAGAAAAUAAAACCAUAGGGUACUAAUUUGAUACAGUUUAAGCCACAUACUACUAAAAUAAGCAAGUGCGAAACCAUAGGAGUGAUAUUUGAAGUUUACCCAAUAUAAAUUAGAAAUCUAAGCAAAUCAUUAGUAUUUCAUCGAAUUCAUGACUUCAAUUCAGUGAGUUAUUAAAUUUGAUAAAAUUUUUAACAUAAUUGAGCACAAAAACUCAAUUAAAAAAAUAGAACUUGAAGGGAUCUCAAUUAAAAAAAAAACAAAGCAAAACAAAAAAAGAAAAGUUGAGGGGACUAUUUCAAAACAGCAUAUUGUUAAGAGGGUCUCCAUUCAUUUCCCUAAAUUUUCUACUAAUUGGAUAAGUUUAUUAAAUGUAUUUAUAUAUAAAAAAAAACUUACUUGCAAAAGAUAACAAAAUUGAUAUGAAAAUCUUCGAAUGUUUUUAUUUCCUUGUCCUUAAAAUAUCUCUCAUAGACUUGAUUUGUCGCUGCUGCAUUAAUCCCUGGAAGACCUGUAAAAAUAUAUAUGAAGUAUGUUUAUUUAUAUAAACAUUAGAAAAAUAUUGGCUUAAAACAAAAUAUAGCAUCUAAAAAAUAGUGAAUGAGAAUAAGAGAGACAAUAAUUUGAUACGAGCGAAAAGCUUAAAGCUGUCAGAGAAUCGUAUCUUAAUAUUUUAUAUGUAUAUCCAACACUGCACCUCUGAUAUGCGAAGCUAGCAAGGUAUAUAUUUAUUUUGUAUAUUGUUGUUUGUUUUUAUUUUAGGCUAAAUUACAGAAAAUUUUUCUGUCACUAUCCACUUUUUCAUUUUCCUCCUCUGUCAUUCAAAAAUCGAUACUUUGCCUUCUUAGAAAAUGAAAAAUGUUCAUUUUGACCCCCGUCGUGAGUGCUUCGUUAGAGUUCCGUUUAUAUCAUAUUUUAUAUAUCCAAAAUAUCCCUGAAACGACCCUCCUCCUUCCUCAUCCUCGGCUGCGCCGCCUUGCCCUCCGCCGCGCCGCCUCGCCCUUCGCUGCCUCGCCCUCACCCACCUCUCUGUCCGUGCCCACACACACGCCCUCACCCUCACUCUCCCCCAUCCCGAAGAAGAUGAGGGGCAAUUUGAUUAUUUUGUUACAGCAUACUCCCUGUGAAAAUUUUUUAUUUUUUAUGAAUGUAAAGUGUAGGUUUUUUUAAUGACAUAGGAGAAAGUGAAAAGCAAAUAUUGACAGGUAGAUUUUCUAUAAUUUAACCUUAUUUUUAUACAUUGUAUGGUAUAUGUUAGAGAGAGUAAGGCUUGCAAUUCAACUCGCUGUUCGAAAGCUAACUCGUGUUUGGACCUAGAAGGAUUAAAGAGAGUAAUAAAAGAGAAUUUAGUGAUGCUAAAUAUUUGUGUAAUUUAGCCCAUUUUAGGCACCUAAAAUUAUACUAAAUUAAAACAGAGAGAAUAAAAUAAACCAAAAGCCUAGUGUGAUUUAAAAACUUAAGCUGCAAUGAACAACCUUGUUUCCAUAUGUUAAAUUUGGUUUUUUAGACAUAAAGCUACAACAUCACUUAUCAUUGAAAAAUGUUAAUGAAGCAUAUAGCUAAAAACAAAAUGAUCCAGUGUAGUAUAUAUAUAUAUAUAUAUAUAUGUAGAAACAUGCAUAAAUGUACUAAUUUACUCAAAAUAUCAUAGAUGAUAAAAGAGGGGGAAAAGUAAUAAAAAAAGGGAAAAAGAAGGGGUUUAUGUUGAUCUUACCAAAUUUACCCAACAAGCUCAUGGGUAAACCCAUUGAGGCCUAAUGUGGGGAAGAAGAGGAGGAAAUAUCACAAAUAAAUGAAAUAUUAGGGUUUGUGUACCUUAUAUUGUAUAGGAGUUAUUGUGUGUGUAUAUAUAAACAAGGAAGAGAGAGAGAGAGAGAGAGAGAGAGAGAGAGAGAGAGAGAGAGGAAGUUUGGAAUGCAUUCCUUUCCCCUCUCCUAGUCACACUCUUUGUUUAGAGAAAUUAUUCCAUGGACCAAUUGUAUAUAUUCAUACGCUUGAUGCACCACAUAAAGCAUUUUAAUCUACACGUCACAUACAUGAACACCGAAGACGUACGAAAUACGACAUGACUCGGAUAUGGCGAACUCAACAGUUUAAAAACAAAAAUUAAAACAUGAACACUGCGUGAAUACUGCUAAUAAAGUAUAAUAUUAUUAAUGUAAUAAUAAUUUGUAUUUAUUAUAUAUAAAAUAUUUAGUUUACUAAAAUAAUAUUUUAUUUUUUAUACUAGUGAAAGUUACUUAAUAAACUUUCAUUGAUAGUUCAUAUAUUUUCUAAAAAAAUUCAAAAAAAUUCGUCACCAUAUAUAAUUUAUUUAUAUUAUUUCAAAAAAUUUAUAUGUAUUCAUUAAAAGUUAAAAUAUUAAUUAUCUUAUAUUAUAUAUAUAUAUAUAUAUAUAUAUAUAUAUAUAUAUAUAUAUAGUUGAGCUAGAAUACUAUUGAUAGCAAACAGGUCUCAUUGCCACCCAUUUGUUUUCAAUGAUGGAGCCUCUAAAUUGACGAUCGGCACCGUUGAACAUGAUCUAUACCAGUUGAAGUGUUUAGAAAUCAAAUUUCAAAUCUUUUCGACAUCAUUUGCCUAAUGAUCAAAGGGUUUCAAAAUUUGUAAUUUUAAUGGUAGAUUUGAGGCGUUUUCUCGUUUAACGGCGCAAAGAUAUCCAAAUCAAUUGAAUUUUUGUUAGAAAAUUCUUUAAACUAUUUAAAACAAGAUCUAUACUCUUGAUCUUGAUUACAAGACUCCUAUCAUCACUUUUUAAAGAAUAUUCAGUUUCAACCGUUCAUUUUUGUGUCCACUCGAUGGAUAAGAGAACAAUAUCGAAAAUAUAUGAAAUUUGAUUUCUAAACACUUCAAGUAGUAUAGAUCAUGUUCAACGGUGUCGAUCGUCGAUUUGGAGGCUCCAUCAUCGAAAACAAAUGGGUGGCAACGGAGCCCAUUUGCUAUCGAUAGUAUUCUAGCUCAACUCUAUAUAUAUAUAUAGAAUUAGGUUGGAAAACUAUUAAUAGUAAAACGCUUUUUUUGCUAUCAAGUUUUUAACCCUUGGAUGAAAAAUUAUAGGGUCAGAAUGAUAUUAGUCGGUUAGAGUUGAGUGGUCCUCCUAGGGUUGAGUGGUCCCCACUGGGUUAUAGUAUUUAAUCCAAUGGUUAGAAAUAAUGAAAAGAGUUGAUUCAAAAGCAAAAAAACUGGUAGCAAUAAUAAAAUUUUACUACUAAUAGUAGCCCAGUCCAACUCUCUCUCUCUCUCUCUCUCUCUCUCUCUUUAUAUAUAUAUAUAUAUAUAUAUAUGCAUAAAAAAAGUGAAAUAAAAAAAUUUCAUAGGAAUGCGCCAUGAACGCACAUCCAUGGUGGGUUUGCGUCAAAUACGAGUCUAGCACGAACAAAGAUGUGUCCGACACGGACAUGCGCGACAUGUAACCGCGUCAUAAUACAUAGAUUUUAAUAAUUUACACCUUAAAUUAAAAUUUAAUUUGAUAGAUGUUAUAUAAUUUACCAUAUAAUAUUUAUAAAGCUAAGUUUAUAAUGGGACAUUAUCCAAUUUAGGAAGUAUUCGUGUCUAAAAUUUAUAAAUUUUUUUAUACAUAAAACACAUUUUCCUCAUAAAAUUUAUUAGGUGUGGCGUAUGAGAUGUGCUUAUACACCCGGUGCAGUGAAUAGUUUCUUCCUUUUUAAGAGGCUAAGUUGUGCUUUGAUACGUGACCUGUUGGGGAGGUUUCCUUGUUAACCUCUGCGUGGAGAACGUAGGAAUACGAUUCCGGCUAACUGAAGUGUAAUUACAUUUUUACCCCUGAAUCAUUAUUAUUAUUAGGGAAAACUUCAAAAAAACCCCGUGGUUCCACACUUUUUUAUUUUAGUACCUUGUGGUUUAAAGUGUAUCAAGUUAGUAUCCUGUGGUUUCUCACUUUAUCACUUUAGUAUUCUGUGGUUUAAAGUGUAUCAAGUUAGUACCCUGUGGUUUUAUUUUUGUACCAAGUUAGUACCCUGUGGUUUUUAAACCACAAGGUAUAAAGUGAUAAAGUGUGAAACCACGGGGUACUAACCUGAUACACUUUAAACCACAUGGUACUAAAGUGAAAAAGUGCAAAACCACAGGGUACUAACUUGAUAUAUUUUAAACCACAUGGUACUAAAGUGAAAAAAGGUGAAACCACAAGGGGGCGUAUUUGAAGUUUUUCCUUAUUUUAUUAUUAUUAUUUUAGAGAGAUAGGUAUCAUUCUACCUGCUUAAACUUAGUUAGAAAUAUAAAUCAAGUAGAAUUUGAACUUGGAACCUCGGGUACCAACCACCAAACUCUUUGCCACUUGCGUUAGGGACGUUUCGGUCUCCAGAGUCAUUAUUACUGCGUUUGGUUGGCGAACUAAGACUUCGUUUGAAAUUGCAAGAAGAUUACGUUACGUGUUGUGAGAAAAUACGAUGGAAAAAUACUCUAUUUGCCACUUGCGCUAGGGACGUUUCAGUCUCCAGAGUCAUUAUUGCUGCGUUUGGUUGGCGAACUAAAUUUCAUUUGGAAUUGCGGGGAGAUUGCGUUACAUGCUAUGAGAAAGUACGAUGGAAAAAUAUUCUAUUUGUUUCCGUACGUAAUAUUACAUUCCGCAUAUUGCGAUGAGUCGGUUAUAAUAUAUUUUUUGCGAUCUCACCGGAGAAUGUAGAAAUAUAUCUCUAUAUAUUUUUACCCCAACUCCAUUUUAUCUAAUGUAUUCAGAUAGGCCCCAAUAACAAACUAAGCCAAAAUUUUGGAGAACAACUUUUACUGUUUCCAUCGACCGUUCCUAGAGCAAGUAGCAAGGGCUUGGUGGUUGGUACUCGAGGUCUCAAGUUCGAAUCCUAGUUGAUUCACAUUUCCAGCUAAGUUUAUUUCUAAAUGAAAUAAACGAAGUGGGUAGCAUGCAACUCGUUUUGAUCUGAACAAUCCGUUUCCCCUAGUUCUUCCACCGUUUCGUUACAAAUUUGGGGAUAUCCCUGGUGUCAAAUGCAGCCUAUAAGUACUACAUCACAAGUGGGGAUGUUAAUGGGUACGGAUACCCGAAAUCUUAUCCGACCCUGAAUCCGAAUAGGGUGGAUUUUAUCCGAUAUUAAACGGAUAUGGUUUCAAAUAUAGAUAUCAAAAAUAAAAAUCUGAAGGAUAUGAAUUCAGAUAUGGAUUUUGACCGAACCCGACCCGAAUCCGAACCCGAACCCAACCCGACCCGAAUCCGAAAUUAGUUUAUAUUAGUGUUUGAUUCUCAAAAAAAAAAAAAAAAAUCCAAAUAGACUGUUUUUUAAUCUCUCUCUCUAAACAUAUAAAUCUAUAACGAAUACUUUUCUAAAUCCUAAAUCCUAAAUUCUUAGCCUAAACCAUCAACACAUUUAUAUGUAGAAAGAUAUCAAUGCUAUUUUAUACUUUGAAAAGGAAUUUAUAAAAUUACCAUUUUUGAGGAGAGUACGUAAUGGUAGUAGUGCAACCCAAAAUUCCAAGGGCUAAAAGUUGGGUUUUGUUUUAUCAACUUUUUUUUUUUUAAUAAAUAUUAAAAAUCUAAAAAUUUUACAAACACUUAGUUGAAGGGAUGUAAACUAUAUAUUUUAAAAUUUAAGCUAACUACUCACUUUUAAAAAUAUAUAGUUACAAAAAAAUAUAAAAUAUACUAACUAAAUAUGUAAAUAUAAAUGACAUAUUUAACUUCUGAAGUUAAAGUAUCAUUGACCGACUCAAAUCAAACAAUUCAUUAAAACUUAGAAAAGUUGAAAAGCCAAUUCAAAAUUAUCUAUAAUUCAGCUAUUAUCUAUAAUUUAGCGAGGUUCUACAGUACGUCUCUUGUGCUUUUGAAAGCAUGAAAAUCUCUGUACUUGUAAAUUAUUUUUCAAUGAUGGGACAUCCAAUUUAACGAUCGACUCCAUUAGACAUGAUCUACGCUAUUAGAGCUAUUUACAAACCAAAUUUCAUAAUUUCUGACAUUUUUUACCGGGUGAUCAAAUGGUCUCAAAAAUAAUUAUUUUAAUGGUCAAUGUAGCGCGUUUGUAAGUUCAACGGUGUAAAACAAUCUAAAGUAGAUGAAACUUUAAUAAAAAAUUCUAUAUUAUAAUAUCAAGAGGAAGAUCAAUACUUUCGAUUUGAAAUUUAAAACUUUCAUUUGUAUUUUUUUAUAGAAUUAUUAUUUACAAUAGUUCAUUUUGAGGCUUGUUCAUUAGACAUACGAAGUCAAAAAAUUAUAAAAUUUAGUUUAAUUCUAGAUAACUUCGACAUUGUGGAUCAUAUUUAACGGAAUAGAUCGUGAAAUCUGGUGUUCUAUCAUGGAAAAUAAUUUGCGAGCACUAAAAUUUUAGUGAUUUUUAGUGAUUUCCAAAGCAUAGCAGCAUAGCUCCUAAAAUUUGAAGCGUAGAAAUUAGCCCAAAAAAUUAUGAAAAAACUGCUUUUACAGAGAAGUUUUUUUUUUUUUUUUUUUUUUUUUUUUUUUUUUUGCCAGAAACAGUUUCUGAAAUAUUUAUUAAAAAGAAAAAAUAUAUAUAUAAAAAAAUUAAUUUUAUACAGGUUCAUGUAAAUAUAGUGAGUUGUAAAUAUAUUCCUACAAAGUUUAAUUUUUAUAUGUUGUCUCUAUAAAAAUCUUGAUGUUUUCAAAUACCCGCUUGUUUGUUACCGUUAAAGCAUUAUUUAUUUUAUAAAUGAAAUGACCUUUUUGCCAUCACAAAUAUAUUCCUCCAAAAAUUUCAACUAUUAAUUGAAUAGGAAUAGAAAGGUCAAUUCACCUCAUUAACUAGAAUUAAAUAUUUUAUCUAUGGUUAAUUAAUUUUUUCUAACAUAUCCUAAUGAUAGGGAUAUUUUUAAAAAUAUCAGAACUUUUGUAAAAAUAAUAUAUAAAAAAUUAACUUUGUAGAAUUAUAUUUGUAAUUUACUGUAUUUGCAGCUCCCUCUUAAAAUAACCCUAAAAAAAAGGGUCGGCAAAAUUUCCCGCUUUCUAAUGUACUCCGCUGUUAUUUUUGUUGCCCCAAAAAUGCAAUACAUUAGAAGAGGUGAUUCUCCUCCUCCUCCCCGUCUCCUUUUUUUUUUUUUUUUAAUGCCAUAAAUAAAUAACAUCUUUGAUUUCUUCUCCAUUGAUCAAAUUUCUCCUUUUUUUUUUAAUGCCAUAAAUAAAUAACAUCUUUGAUUUCUUCUCCAUUGAUCAAAUUUCUGGUUCAAUCGCAUGAAACUCAGAUGCAGAUCGAUCUUCGCUGCGAAUCGCUUCUCAGCUUCCCCGCCUCCGAUUCUAACCUGGCACUAGGGUUUCAGUCACUGUUACAUUGCUGAAACAUUUAUUUUAACUGGUCAAUUAUUAGGGUUCUGUCCUAAAUAAACAUUUGACUCUGCACAUUUAAGCUGCAUCUUGAAUCCUAUGGCUAUUUUAAUCACUGCUGUCUCAGUUAUUUUGGUUUUGUUCUUUGAAGGAGAUUGAAUGUGGUACCUAUUUUUUGCCAUGUUAGCACCAAAUUAUGUUUUCCGUCCCGGUAAACCCGCUUUUCGUCAAUGUCCGUCAAAAAUUGGAAAAAUUUUGGGGAUUGAUUACUGUUAACCUAGUUAAAGGUUAGUUGAAUACUUGAAUUAAUCUUUUAUAGUAUGCUAGCUAUAGUUUGCCGUGUGUGAAUUGUUCUUAUUCAUUGUGUUUAUAAUUACAUUGAGAUUUUGGAGGAGUCGAAGUCGAAAACGCAGUGAUGAUUUGGGAAAAAUUUAUUAUUGUAGAUCGUAGAGUAUGGCUUUUUGCAUAAAAGGAUCUUCCGAGCUCGUUAUGCUUGCUUUAUUAUAUCACGGUUUUGCUUGCUUUAUCUGUUAGCAGUUGCAGUGAUUGUAAAGAUGUCCAACAACAUUUGUGCUUUUAUUUGUAAUUUAAAUUUCGGUAUCAAAUGCUAGUUAAUGUGUUGACUAGUAAAGUUCGUAACCAAAACACUCUAUGUAAUCGAUCUUGGACGCAUUAUAUCAACAUUGCGACGUUUUAAUUUGUUUUUGUUUUGCUUGAAAAGAUUAGCUUGCGAUGUUUCUUUCCCUAAUCAGGGUUACUUUUUCUUGCUAGGAGAUAUCUAUUUCUUUAGAGGCUGAAGCCGAGUUAUCUAUCACUACUCGGUCCAUAUUUAAGUAUAAUGUGUUGCUACUUUCGGUAAAUGCAGCGGACCAAUUUGUAAUGGCCUCCCUGUCCUUGAUGAUCAUUCUCUGCUCACUACAAUGAAGUUUUGUCUUUUCUUCUUUUGUUAGGAUGCCGCGCGGAUUAUCAAACUUCGAACACAAAAUUGUCCUGAUUCGAUCAAAUUUCAGUAUCAUGGCGCCCUCAAGAAGCACACUGAAGGACCAAAGCAGCGAAAAGAAUGAGCAGACUUCUAUCAGGUGGGUCUCCCUUGUGUAAUUUCAUUACUUCAUCAACAUUUUUGAGUUUGCAUUUGUCAAAUAGAAAGAGAGAAAGGGAAAGGACAGCGGAUAUAGACAAAGCAACCCACUGACAUAUAUUUCACGUUACUAUACAUUCAUUCGCUAUUUAGUUUCUUGAGCGAAUGAAUUUCGGCUUAUAAAUUCCGUUCUUUCCUGAGAAAUUUAAUCACUUUUAGAAUGAGCUAAGUCAGGAACUGUGUUUUUCGACUAUUACUGCUGUUCUUAUCAUCAUGGAUAAUCAACAUAAAUCAUACUUUUGUUUUGGGUUGUCUUGGACACUGUCAUGCUUUUAGAUCUUUGAGGCUUAUAAUAUUUGCAAGCUCAAUUUCGCAUAAACAAGCAUGCAAAUAUUUGUUCACCGAGGUAGAAUGGCCAAAACCAAUAUUAGUUUGGUGUAUAUUGGCCGUGCUAAAGAAGAGACUUAUCUUAAGGAACCAUUGUUUUGAUCAAUGAGCAACCUAAGAAGGAGGUGGGCGUGAAUUAGUGAGCAAUUGAAAAAUUGAGUGCUCCAUUUUAAUUGUUGAACAAGCACAAAUAUUAAUAUAUCAUUCCGAAGUCUGGAAGGACCUAGUCUGAAAAUCUGAAUAUCCAAUCUGCGGUGGUUGACUGUCCCGGCCAAUUGCUGUGGAAAUAAUUAGCUGGCUGAGGGGUAAAAAAUUUCUUUUGUUGGUCAACCGGCCUGACGGAACGAGGAUUGGAGUUUGGCCAUUUCGAUUGAUCAACAUGCUUCUGACUUGUUUCAACAGCUCCUUCUCAGCCAAUAUUUUAUCAAAUUUGAAACUAAUUUCGGCGCAUGAACAAGUAAUGGAACGAGAAGAUAGUUAAAAGUUGGGAGAGUAUGUUAAUAGAGUUCAAGUUGCGUAAAUUUGAGUAGAAUUCUUAGACUUAUCUAAGAUUUAUCUUUACAUCAGAAUCUAUCUGAAAUUUGAAAUUUUGACCUCAUAUAAUUUCUAGCGUCCCUAUGAAUCAUCUAGUGGCCGUCUGAUCCAUUUGCUUGGACCUCAAGGCUCCGACUCCUUGAUGCUUCCUUCUCUUAAAUUGUUUUAUUGAUUUUGUUGCGAAAGACCAGCACCGAACACCAAGUUCAUAGGGCAGAAAAGAGAAGAAAGGAAGAGAAGAAAAGAAAAUGAACAGAACAAUGAAAUUAUGUGGCUUGGAUCUGAUGCCUACAACCGUGGGUGAAGGAGCGAAGAUUCCGUAUUAUAGUGAAUAAUUGGAUUCAAAAAGACGACAAGCUUGCAGAAAACGUGGCCUAAGAACAUCGUGUGCUCCACAUGAGUAAUAAUUCCUAUGAAAAGGGGCAUAAGUACCAUAUAAACGAUUCCAAAUAGGGUCAACAAAACUCGUGAAUAUAAGGUUGAAUCUGAUAUUUAUAGCCUGAAAAGGUACGAAGCGAAGACAAAUGAACAUGCUGCUGUACCAAUGUGUGACCUGUAAUGCAAACCAUCUCUGCCUUGAGCAUAGCUUUGUGUCUGCUAUGUUAGGAUUGAUUCUCCUCUGUAAAAUGUUAUCCAAGUCUAUGGUCACUGAAUCCAGAAUUUCAUCCAUGGGUUGCCUGAAAAUCUCCUAAAAGUUUCUCUAAGGACUUGAGGACUUAUAGAGCAUUGUUUACAAAUUUGCUCAUAAAAAGAAGGAAUCUGCUUUCAUAAUCAUUGUCGACGGGAUUUUUUUUGGCUAAGCUAUGACGGGCAAACUUCCAAGUAUUCAAGUUUGGAUUGUUGAUUGAUCUAUCUAUGUUCUUUGGCAGUCUAGAAAGAUUCAACUUGACCGUGAUGGUUUGAACGUUGCAUCUGUCAUCAUCUGAUGGAAGUUGGUGAAUAUUUUUUAAAUGAAUAUCUAGUUUGAUCGAUCGAACAAUGUUAUUGAGCACAUAAUAUUGAGGAAGUUUGAUUUGUUCCACUAGGUUGAUUAAUCAGAGUAUCAAACCGGGCAAAAUAUUAGAAUUUAACAGAAGUAGAGCUAACUGCCAUUGAUCUUAGUUAGUGAGUAAUAUUUCAGAGUUGGAGAUCCUAUAUUAUUUGCAUCUUAGCUCUAAUCCAAUGUAUAAGAGUGUGUUGUAAGCAUUGUUGUUCAAAGGGCUAUUCUACUCUGCGUAAUGAAACUAGUUGUGGGGGGAUGUUAACAGAUACGGAAACCCAACAUCUUUACCUAAUUUUGAAUCUGAAUGAGCUAGAUUUAACCAAAAUCAGAUGGGAAUGAAUUCAAUUAUGUCAGCAACAAUCCGGAUUCUAGCAAGUUCUGUUUUGAUUACCCGAAUCAAACCCAAAUACAAAACUAUGCCUGAAUCCAAACCCGUAUACAAACCGUUCUCUAGGGCUUGAUUUAAUAUAUUUCAUUGAAUAAUUGUGUUCAGUUAGGGGAUUCACGUAUGACUUUUUUGAAGUGGGUUCACUUUUGGUUAUGGAUUUUUAAAACUGUUUGAUUUUGUUUAUGGUUUCGGGUUUUCGGGGUUGGAUUUUGGUUUUAGUUUUAGUCUUUCUAAAAAUCACCUGAAUCGGACCUGUUGACAUCUGUAACCAGUGUCCAGAAGUCUUCUUCAAUCUUGUAUCUCUGCUAUUUGACACACUGAAAGUAAACUCACAUGUGGUGUAACGGAAUUUUCAACACAUAAGAAGACUAACAAAAUGAGUGUAAAAGGUUUCAGAUCCUCUGUUGGGUACAUAACUGCAUAUACAACUUGCAUAGUUGAAUAAGACAUUAGAUAACAUAUAAACACCAUUCUAGACUUGACAGAUUGGUGAUUCAGUAAUUGAUGCUCAAGGAGUAUCAAGCUUUUUUGCUCAAGGGAUGGGGUGAGAAAAUUAUCCUCACACCAUCAAAAGAAAAACUCGAAAAACUAAAAACUACUACUAAGUUGUCGCAUUUGAUGCUUAAGGAGUAUCGAGCUUUUCUACUCAAAAGAUCAUGUGAGAAAAUUAUCCUCGCAUAAGAAAGUUUCAAAGUAGAAAACUCCUGCAUCAAAGCUUCAAACCAGAAAAAAUAGUAGUCUUCUACAUUUUAGCCACUAGAGAAGAAUAUGUAAUGUCAAGCUCUCCCGAUCUUGAGGCUAUCUAUGAAGCUCCUCUGGUUUUUGAUCUUCCAGUGAAGAUAGUCAAGGUAGUCUCUAAAGCUGCUGUCUUCGUAUCUUUUUGGCUGCUGCCCAUCUAACAGCUCUUUGGCGGUGCUAACCUUCUCGUCAAUGGAAAGACCGUGAAUGCUGGCUAUUGAGAUCCUUCUAGUGUCGGGGUUGAGAACCACUCUGUGGAUUAGAGUCUUGAACUCACCAUUACUCAGCACCUCUAGAUGGUCACCUAUAUGGACAUGAAGGGCCUCGGGCUGGUGUGGGACUGCUCUCCAGCACUUGUCGUCGUGGUCCAUGACCUCGAGGCCGUUGCAGCUCUGGAGCAGGAUAGUAAUGAAGCCAUAAUCAGAAUGGGGAAACAACCCAACCAUGACAUCUGGCUGGGAAAACUGGGGAUAACCAUUUACUGCCAACAUUUGCAUGCCCUCCUCGAGCUCCUUGCGCAGGUAUGCCGGGCCCAGUCCUAGGCUUUCUAGUAUUGCAUCCAUCAGUUGCAACGCUAGUUUCCUGGCUUCAAUAGCAAACAUUCCCAUCUUUUCCCUGAUCGAAGGAAACACUAAGCCCUAUGAGUUAGGCUUAUAUGUUUUCUCACAAUUGAUAUAUGAAAGAAAACAUUAGUCUUUCAAUGUUGGGUAGUAACUAGCAUGUAUACCUGUAACUUGGUGGUUCUGCAGGCCACAAAUGGAUCCAAUCGCUAAGAGGGUGAGCAUAGUGCUUCAGGAAAGAUCUUGCCUUUCCGUCCUUUGUGCCCGUCUCGUAUCUAACUGGUCUGCGGAUGUCAUCUGACGCAAAUUGUCCCUUAGCCUCUUUCGAUAGUGCAAAGAAGUCGGAAGCAGCUUCAAGAGCACCUUUCAUGACUGAUUGGCUAAUUCCAUGGUUUACUACCUGCAUAACAAAGCUAAAUUUGAAUUCCGUGUUAUUCUCCACAUGUUUAUAAAUGUUGGUUGUUUAUCGUUUUAUUUAUCUCCAAGUAGCUACUGAACUUCUUAUUAACUAGCACACUGGCAAUUAACUUUUAGAAAGUUGGCAAAAGCCUUUAUACAGUCGGAGAUUCUCCCUUAUCAUUUCUUGCUAUUUGUGUCUUUGUCAGAUCGUGCUGUUAUACUCUUUACAGUGAAUAAUUGCAUAUGUUUAUGUACAAUGAACAACCAUUUACGCCAACCAAUUUCUACUGUAGGAACAUCUCAAGCUGAUGAUGUUUAAUUUGUUUACAGCAUGUAGACACCUGGGUGGUAUGUAAUUGACAGUUGCAUUCUACAAGUACUGUUCUAAUCUUAAGCAAGUGUUUCUGUACAAUGAAAACUACAUAAACCGAUGGAGUUUGAAACUAGAAACAACUCAAGCUGAUGCUGUUUAAUUUACAGAACAUAUAUAAAAUCUUGGUGGUAGCUAGCUAGUCGACGGAUGUGCAUGUUGGUACUGUUGGCGUCUUUUGCGAUCUUCUCUCAACAAGUUUGCCGCAUAAAAUACCAUGUGGUGAUGGGCUAAUCGUAACCAUGUGGUUACGUACAAUGAGACCCAUUUACACUGACAAAGUUCUGCGCUGGAAAUAUCUCAAGCUAUGCUGUAUUGUUGAGAGAUCUAGACAUCUUUGUUGUAACUGCUCGGCAGAUUUGCAUGUUGAUGGUGUUGGUGUCCUUUGGAGCCUCUUCUCAACAAGUUUACCACAUAAAAUAUCAUGUGGUGAUGUGCUAAUUGUAAGCAUGUAGUUCUGUAUAAAACCAUUUACGCUAACAAAGUUCCACAAUGGAAACAUCCGAAAGCUAUGCUGUUUUAUUUGCAGAAUCUGAACAUCUUGGCGGCAGGCGAUCGACGGAUGUUCGUGUUGGCGGUGUUGGUAUUUUCCGCAGUUUUCUCUCUACAAGUUUAUACAUAAAAUAUCAGGUGAUGCACUAAUCUAAUCCUGUUUUUGUGUAGAGUGAAAACCAUUUCAACAGCAAAGUUCCAGUGGAAACAUGCUGCUUCAUCUACAGAACCUAAACAUAUUGGCGAAGGCUGUCGACAGUUGUGCAUGUUUGGUGCAUUCCGUAGUCUCCUCUCUACAACCUUACCACAUAAAAUAUAGAACGGUAAUGUGCUGAUAUUAAGUAAUUGUGUUUACAUACAAUGCAAACCAUUUACAAAGAUUCAAGUUGACGUUGUUUAUCACAGAACCCAAACAUCUCGGUGAUACACAAUCGAUGGAUGCAUGCGCACGAUGGUGUUGACGCCUUUCGCCGGUAUCCUCUCUACAAGUUUAUCGCAUAAAAUACCAUAUUGUGCUGUGCUAAUUGUUAUCAUUUCUCUUGUAUCAUCUGCAGAAAGUGUUGAAAGUGUGUACUGAAAAACACGCUUGCCGACUGUUUCAUCAACAUGAACGUAGAGAAAGUUUCAUUCGUUUGCGGCAUGUAGCAGACAGCUAAGAUAUGCUAAACUGUCAACGUGAAGGGAAGGAAGAAAAGAAGCAUACAUUACCUGGAAAUACCCGUGUUUCCGGCACGCCUUAGCGAUGUCUUUGAGCAUGAGAGAUCGUUGCGCGGAACUCUGGUUAAGCCUGCAGAGGUCGACGACCGGUAUCUGCAUCGGCUUAGCUUUAGCUCCAACCGGAAUUGGAGAAGGGAUGCUCUGCGGCAGCGCGCUCAAGGUUGCUGCUAGUGCUUCUGCUUCUGCUUCUGAGCACUGCUAUGUUCUACAGGAGAGUGCAAUAUAUGAGGCUUAUGGACAAUGCUCAGAUGGGGUGUGGGAUAUUUAUAGGCUUCGUGUGGCAGCUACUGAGCACUGCUAUAUUCUAUGCAUAGUAAAUGUAGCCACUAGCUUAGCUUGUGGAGGGGAAAUGCUUUGCAUGUGAACCUCAAAGAAGCUGUGGGGAGAAGCUGUUGCUUUUGGGUCCAGGAGCAGAUCCCAGGAGCCACUCUACCUUCCAAAUAAGCUAUUUUCUUGUGUCCUUUUUCUAGUUUAACUACUAUUCUAUAUAGUAAGGAUAAGAUGUUUCUUUUUCUUUUUAAUUAUUUUGAGGAAGAUAGUGUUACUAUGCUUUCCACUUUGUGCUUCUUUUUCUAGAAAUAAAUUCAAAUAAAAAUAUAAAGCAAUUAAAUUUCAAACUUGGGCCAUCAAAUCUUUUUAGACUUUGUUUGGUUCGGAUAUAAAUAAGAAUUGUUUAUUCGAGAAAUAGAUACAAGUUCAGGUGUAAGUAAGAACUAAAUUAGUUUUAUGUUUGGAUGGAAAUUUGAUUGUUUUCGAGAAUAAAAAAAAUAGCGUUUGGAUAGAUAAAAUGAAAUAAGAAAAAAUUAAAAUUUCAAAUCACAAAUUUCAAAAUUCAAAAGUUUAAUUUUAAAUUUAAGGUCAAAUUUAAAUUUUAAAAAUGUAAAACAUUAAAUUUUAAAUUUAAAAAAUUUAAAAUUUAGAAUUUAAAAAAUUAUAAAUUAUAAAUUUUGUAAUAAAUUUAAAUUUAUAAAUAUCUCUCUCUCUCUAGCUAAAGCUAGAACAAGCUUGUUCCACCUAAGGGGUGGGAACAGUAGUUCCCACCUCUCUUUUUUUUUCUUUUUUUUUUUUUUUUUUUUUUUUUUUUUGUUUGGGUACAAAGGAGGGAAUAAGAUCUUAUUCGAGCCAGAUUAUCCAUCAAGAUUGCUGCGAGAGUAUUCAUGUUCAUUGCAAAAGUUGGACAGUUCCCUUCUCUACCAGCUUCAUCCAGGAACUGUACAUCGUCAAAAGCCAUGAAUUCUGGUGGCUCUUCAAGUAUCAAUCAAGUAAAAUCUGCUGUACACACAUCUGGCGAAAAGAUGGUCAUUGCAACGUCAGUACAUAGCAUAUAGGCCUAGUCCCCAUCCAUCCUCUCUUAAGUAUUAUCUACCGUAGGGAUUUUUUUUUAAGUACUAAACAAAUAAAGAUCUUUACUUUCACUAGUACUUUUAUAACCUUCAAAUCUCAGGCAAAAAUAUAUCUCUAACACUUCCAUCGCUAAGCAUCGUAUACAAAGAUUGGACCGUGAACUUGUGUUCCUUAUUCCAUCGUCCAAAAUAUCUUAUCCGGUUCGUCAACAGCUUUUACCACCAAAGCAUGCGCUUGAGUUCCUAUACUGCCUAGUUACUACUUGACUCGCUGAAUUAAUCUCCUGAAAAUUUUCCUCCAUCUCCCAUCCUUUGCUAGCAUAAUAUUCUUUACAGUAACAUUCUUAAGCUCCACUUUAUCAUAAACCUCAGGUACUAAGAGAGCGUAACGAGAUUUCACCACACCAUAUAUCCGACAAAAGUCAAUAUGCCGGCCAAACUCACAAAUGAAGCAUCCCUAAGCUUAAUCACAUCAUCCACCACAUUGAGGCCGGGUUUAAAGGACUUUCCUUCCCUCUAGAGUUUUCUUCUAUUGCCUCAAAUGUUGAAAUCAAAAGUAUGUGAUCAAAAAACUCAUGACUCAAAGUUUAGGGACUAGUAAUGCAAUUAUAACAUACUACAUAUUAUAUAUAUAUAUAUAUAUAUAAUAAAUAUAUAGAGAGAGAGAGAGAGAGAGAGAGAGAGAGAGAGAGAGAGAGAGAGAGAGAGAGGGAGAGAGAGAGAGAGUAGUGCUACAAUACUCUUAUGAGUAUAGAGUCCUUCGUACUCAUAAGUUAUUUUCGAUGUUCGGGCUUCCGAAUCGACGAUCCACACCGUUAAACAUGAUCUAGAGUAUUUGAAACUUCUAGAAAAUAAAUUUCGUAACUUUUCAAAAUCAUUAUAAAGUCCAUCAAGCCGGUAUAAAAUGAACGGUCAAAAUCGAACGACGUCCUAAAAAUUGAUGAUCGGAUCCUUCAAUUUAAGAUCGGAGUUAUUGAUCUUUAUUUAGAUAGUGAAUAGAAUUUUCUAUCAAAAAUUCAACCUAUUCCGAUUUUUUUUCACUGUUAAACUAGCAAAUAUCUCAUACCGACCGUUAAAAAUUGUCAAUUUUGUGAGCUUUUGAUCGUAAGGUAAAUGAUAUUGAAAAAUUAUAAAAUUUGAUUUCUAAAUGCUCUAGAUAAUGUUUAACGGUAUAGAUCGUCGAUUCGGAAGUUCUAUCAUCGAAAACAACUUAUGAGUACAAACGUGAUCGUACUCAUAAGAGUGUAGUAGCCGGACUCUAUAUAUAUAUAUAUAUAUAUAGAGAGAGAGAGAGAGAGAGAGAGAGAGAGAGAACUAGGCUAGAAUACUAUCAAUAGCAUCAAGCUAUUGGUUCUAUUAAUUUUUUAAUCCUUGGAUUAAGAGAUAUGUGGUUAGGAUGAUGUGGGUCCGCUAGGGUUGAGUGAGUGGUUGGUUGAAUAGUAUAAUCUAACAGGUGGAAAUGAUCAAAGGGGUAGAUCUAUGCACAAAAUCAGAGUUUAACUAGUUAAAUAUGAUUGCCCAUCCCAUAAAGAACUCAAAAUUAUAGUUUAUUCAUCAUGUUGUUUUGUGACAUACAAAAAACAUGCAUGUGUGGUAUAAAAAUUAUUAUCAUCAUUAUUACGAUUUUCCAACCUGUUCAUGGUGCACACGACGCUUAACAUUAAUUUUUUUUAUUAGGACAUGUGCUAGUGUACGUUUUUUUCGCAUUAAUAAAAUUUAUCAUUAGAAGUUGCCGAGUAAAUUAAAAGAGAAAUGCUAAGCUUAUAACUCAAAUUGAUAGUAAUAUCUACAAUUCUUAUGUGGGUUGUUUGACUAUCUACAAAAGAGAUUUUAGAGUCAAUUUUGUUUUUCAAUAAAAUAUUUGAUAAUUCUUUUUUUUUUAAAAAUAAUUCUAUAUUUUACGAAACUUAUUUCUUGAAAUCCAAUUCUCUUAUUUCACCUAAAAAAAUAUUUUAAAAAGAGUAACAAAGUAAAUUCUUUUAAAAAAAAGUAUAGAAUGACAGAGUAAAAAAUGUGCUAAAUCACAUAAAUAGUUAAAUCUAAGUUUUUAAACUAAAGGGUGGCAAAAUAAAAUGCAUUAUACCAAAGGGGGCAAAGCACAACUUGACGAUUACCCUAUUUUAUUUAUUUUAAUUUUAAAUUUUGUACUAACUAUUACAUGCACGUUCCUGUAUAAUGCAUUGUACUGCUAAAAUGCAACCAUAGAGGACUCAUAUCAAAAUCAAAUUUUAGUUAGUUAAAUAUGAUCUAUAAUAUAUAAAAGGUUUAUAUAUUUUAAAAAUAACAAAUAUGAGGUAUACAUUUCAGUAAAGUAUAUGGUUGUCUCUCCCAACCCAUCAUGCACAUGGGUGCACAAAUGCAUGACACUCAUAAUAAUAACACAACCCAUAUAAAGAGGCUACUAUGCUUCUGAAAACACGGAGCCUUCCGUACUUUCAGGUCGUUUUUCAUGUUGCGACUUUCGAAUCGUCGAUCGGCUCCGUUAAACUUGAUCUAGAGUAUUUGAAGUACCUAGAAAAUAAAUUAUGCGAUUUUUCGAUAUUAUUUGCCUAGUGAACGAAGGGGCUCAAAACCAACAGCUGAAAAUAAAAAUCUUACAAAACGUGAUAAUAUGACAUUAAAAUUUUAGAUCAAAGAUAUUGAUCUUGCUUUAUAUAGUAUAAAGAAUUUUCUGUCAAAAUUUCACGUGAUUUGAAUAUUUCUACACCGUUAAACUUGCAAACGGCGGCUCACUAUGGCAAGUAAAACUAUUGAUUUUGAGGCCCUUCGAUCACUAGGCAAAUGAUAUCGAAAAAUCAUAAAAUUUAUUUUCUAGGUACUUCAAAUACUCUAGAUCAAGUUUAACAGAGCCGAUCGACGAUUCGAAAGUUGUAACAUCGAAAACGACUUGGAAGCACGGAAGGCUCCGUGCUUCCAAAAGUAUAUUAGCCUCACACGCUCAAAAUUAUAGUUCAUUCAUCAUGUGUUUUAUAAUAUGCAAUCAAAAAAACAUGUGCCUAAAGUAUAUAUAGUUUUAUUCAUCAUGCAUGUGUUUAUGACAUGCCAAAAAUGUGUGUAUUAAGUAUCAUUAUUUUUUGGCACAUGUAUUGGAUUAUAUGUAUUAUUAUAGUUUAUGAUUUUCCAACCUGUUCUUGGUGUAUGGGACACAUGUUGUAAAUAUUGGCUAGGACAUGUGCCAACAUUUCUACUGCCAUAAACAGUUUUGGCAUUUAUAAAAUUUGUUAUUAGAAUUAAGUUAAUAUAUUUAUAUAAAAAGAGCAAUUUUAACUUUACAUCCAUCGUAGAUAUAGCGGUUUUUUAUAUAUGCAAGAUAGCUGUUACGACGAGCGCACAAAUAAAAACAAAAAAUAACGAUCACAGAUCUAGUCUACAAAGCACAAAAUAGAAAAAAGAAAAUAUAAACACAGAGAAUUCAUGUAGAAAAUCCUUUGCACAAAAAAUUACAAGUGGAAAAAGAGAGAAGCUUACUAUGAAAAAAGAUACACUGUUGUAGAAGAACAAUUCAAUGUAUCAUCUCUAGGGCAAAAAGAAAAAAGAAGUUCCUUUACGUAUUUCUUCAGUAUCAAAUCUGAUUCGUAACACGGCAGCCCGAGCCUUCCGUUUCCACCACAGACAUUUAGGUUUUUUUUCACCAAUUAUUUUUCAUAAUUUGUCGAUGAAUUAGAGAUACAAAAUUAAAAUCGAUAAUCAAAUUUCGAGACAUAUCUAAUUGCGACGAAAUAACAAGCAACCUAUUAGAAUAAAAUAUUAUUUCAAAAACUGAAUUCGGUGAGCCUAUUUAAGCACAACUACAACUUAGAAUUAGUUUUCACAACCUCCAUAUGCAUACUACCUCUAUAUAUCAAAAUGUACUUUUAUAGAUGUUUUAGAAUACAACUUUAAAAUAUACAAGCAACUUUCAAUUUUUUUUAAUAUAUAUUUUUUUUCUUUAACAUCCAAAAUGUCAUUUGAUAACAAAUAAAGUAAACCAUAUGUCUUCUCAAUGGUGCUCACGAAGGGGUUAAUCGAAAGCUAAUCAAAUUUUCCAGUGGUCACAGCAAAUACACCCUAGAGUCACUUAAUAUUAUGUGCCUAGUGUGGUGCACACUCUUUCAUUACAAAUAAAGAUCAAUGUCACAAAAAUAACAUCCUUUUUAAUGCGUACUAUACCUUUAUAAUGUUGUCUUUAUAUAUUAUUAGUUUAUUAGUAAAUUCACGCAAUCGAGUGCAGUCACGAGUCAGUCAAAAACUUUCUCAUCAUAGAUGUUGAUAUAUCAACAACAUAUAAAAAUAACAUUGUGUGGAGGACACAAAGGAUUUUUCUUCUUAGAAAAUAUAGUGUACUAAGUUUUGAAAUAUUACACUAAACUUCGGCCGAAUUAGGUAAAAUAUAGUUGGGAGAUAAUUUAGGCAUGCUUAGAAAUGAGUUUCGAGGGUUCCGGAACGAUUAAAAGUGAAUUAGAGCUCUAAGAAGAGAAAAUGAGAAUUUUUGAAAAAAAAUGCAUUUUUGUGCUGUUGGACCCUCAGGGUUAAGACCACGGCAGUAGUAUCCGAACCUUGGCAGCAGCAUCCGAACCUUACCUACGUAGAAUGAAAAAUGAGCUACGGGUUCCGGACCCUGAACUCGAGGUCCGGACCCUCCGCUCGUAAAAUGCCCAAUUCGGGAGGUUUUUGGCAAUUAUAGCAUUCCCCUUUUAAAUAGGAACCCUCCCAUCUCUCUCUCUCUCUCUCUCUCUCUCUCUCUCGUUUUCUACCUCACGCACAGAAAAAGAAAGAGGAAAAUCCUUCUCUUUUCUCUGCUCUUUCACUUUCAAAAUCUGUCUCCAAGGUGGAGAUUUUGGUGGAGAUCGAGCUUGGAAAGCUUGGAGGAGUGGAGAAUUAAGCCCUAGCGUGUGUAGCCGCUUGGAGAGCUUUGUGGUUGAGGUGUGUUUUUGGAUUCUAGGGUUAGGGUUUUGUUAAAUUCUUUAAGAAUUGAGAUUUUUGAGUUUACUGGAUGAUUCUAUACUUAUUUAAUAAAAAAUUCUCCAUAAAUUUUUUUUGGAGAAAUUGAAAUCUAGGGUUAGAAUUGGAAUUUUUGUCCCUAUGAGGUUUGAACUAAAUUGAUCCUCUAAUACUCUAAUUGAAGGUUAGAGGAGAGCCCUAGACGAUUUUAAUUUGAAAAUCGACGGGCGUUCAGUGAUCAAUUUCAAGUAAUGAACCGAACCGAGCGACGUUGGCUGUAUAGGCUCAAAAGGGAGCGAUUGGCCGUAGAAGCCCAAUUACAAGUAUCUACAAGCAAUCAGAAGCGUGUGAGGACCCGCCAGCAAUAAUAACUCAUUGGGCCAAACCACUGGCCCAAGAUGCUUAAGCACAGUUAUUAUUACUAGUGUGUAGGCUUCAUAUAAACUGAUCAGAAUCAGUAUCUCAUCCAAUGUGGGGCUAUUGGGGCGUUAUAAACUUCCCCUGUUUAGACCCUGAGGUUCUCGUCGGGUCCAAACCAAAUCAUAGACAGACAGACUUAUCAGGACCAGAAUUAUUAGGCGAUGUGAGAUUCUAGAUGUGGCUCCUGCGGGUUCAAGAGGUGGCUCCUACCAAAUCCGUUGGUGUAGCACUUUGUCCCGCAUAGCACUUAGCUCUCACACUUCCGGCUGGUAUUCGGCUCUGAUACCAAUUGUAACGACCCGACCCGCCAGCAAUAAUAACUCGUUGGGCCAAACCACCGGCUCAAGAUGCUUAAGCCUAGUUAUUAUUAGUAGCGUGUAGACCUCAUAUAAACUGAUCGGAAUCAGUAUUCCAUCCGAUGUGGGGCUAUUGGGGCAUUAUAGGUUGUGUACCACCAAAGUGAUUAGGUCACUUCUACGCUAAAGAGUAAAAUUUAUAUUAUCUCAUUGAUGCAUAUAAUGGUAGUUUAAUUUGUGAAAUGAGUAGCCAUAAUUUGUAUGCUACUUAGGAUAAAUUAACUGCUAGUGGACAUGAAACUAGGCAAGUAGAAACAUAUAGGGUAUAUAUAUGCAUGGCUAGGUGUGAUAAUGAACAUAAGUUGAUUAACUCUAGAAAAAUUAGAGAACUCGAUAAGUGAGAAGUCAAGGACCAGACGUCACAUGAAUUAUGAAUUCUACGUGUGGACAACUAGGAUAAAAAAGAACUUGAUUGAAUAUUGAACCUAGUAUCGUUGAACAUAAGUCGAAAAAUAUAAUGGUAGGAUGACCACUUGGACAUGAGAACAUGGACCUAGGGAGGUUGACAUUAUAGGGUAAAUGGUGAAGCCUUGAGACUUGAAAAGUGAAUUUUAGAAUCUCAAGACUUGUGAUUAUGGAAGAUUCUUAGUCGUGGGUGUAUAUGGCAUGUUUCUCUCCCACCGCAAUACCUUUGUAAGCUAGGAUGCAUAUGUUAUGUUCCUCACCCUAUCGGGGAUCUUUGGCCAUGGAUGUAUGUGACAUGUUCCUCUCCCACUUGAGAAUCUCUCACCUAGGGUGUAUGUGGCUUGUUCCUCACUCAUCGGGCGACAUGGCAUCAGAGGUGCAUGUGGUAUAUUCUUCACCUGCCAAGUGGAUUUAAGGCUGAGAUACAUGUAGCACGUUCCUCUCCUCAGGCCUGAAUAAUGAGCGGUAGUCCACUGAUAAUUGACUCAAGACCAAGUCAGAUGGUAUAGUUUGGCUGAGGCAAGAGAAAUCUUAAGAGCGGAAUGGAUAGUGAAAUUGAAAGUAGGAGAGGUAUAUCUACUUACAUUGAUUUCAUUCUUACAUUUACUUAAGGCAUAAGUAUGGAUAGUUUCUUAUUUGCAUAUAGUAGAGUUAUAUACUUACAUAGUUAUAUAUUUAUAUAUUGGAUUAACCUUUAUAUUGCCUCUUUUGAACUUGAUAGGUCGAUCUCUUCUUUCGGGUAGCCAUACUUACUGGGAAUUAUAUUUAUAAUUUUCACUUUCAUAUUUUUCAGAUCCACACGUAAGUGACACGGCGGUGUAAGGAAAGGGCGUAGCUCGAUAGAUAGCGCCCUACCACUUUGUGACCAAGAUAGAUGUAUCCGUGGAUCUGUAUAGCUUAAGGGUAUUAAAAAUAAUGAAAGAAAAUGUAAUCAAAUUUGAUUGUAUUUGGAAGAAAAAAAAUGUAAAUAUAAUAUGAAUGUGACGAAUACUUGUAAUAGCAUAGUUGUUUUAUAUUUUUGAUACUUUCUUAUACAAUAUGUAUAUAAAUUUUGUUCAUAUAUAUUUGGAAUAUUUUGAAUUAUACUGAUUAUGACGUCUUGGGUGAAUAUGAAAAAUUCUGUCCGUUUGGCGGGUCUGGCACGUGUAGGACUCCUUCCAUCUAUUUGGAGAAAGGACGACGGGACACGACAGAAAAAUAAAUUCUAAAGUGGAACAUUCUAAUAUUUAUCGCCCUUUCUUUUGGGUCCGUCCUAAUUUAAGUUUUUUAAGAAUAAUGAUCAUUUUGUAUUCUUUAGCAUGGUAUCAAAGUAGAAAUUUAUGAGUUCUAGUUUCCGUUAGGCUCCUAUGAUUAUUUAAUUAAGCUUAUGUCUUAAGUCUCUUAAAAAGUUUCGAAAUUGGCUUUUUAUUCAAAAAGGAUGCUAAACUAGAUUAAUCCAAUCAUUUGCUGAACUUACAUGCCAAUAAAGUCUACUACUAGCUAGGUUGUGAAAUUAACAAGUGCUUAUAAGAGGCAAAUCAGUUUUAUUGAGUCACGACAAAUUUGAGUAAUGAUUAGAGACCAGAUCCCUGCAUAUCAAUCUCAAUAUCAACAUCACCUAUAUAUAAAUAUGGGGCAAUUGCUUAUAUAUUCCUGAAAAAUUUCUGAAUUUCAGAUUUACCCCUCUUAGAAGGCUAAUAUUAAAAAUACCUUUUUUACGUUCAACCUAUUUCUAAUAUAUCCCUAGGUUAAAAUCUGUUAAUGAACUCUGUUAUCUCUGUAAAAUUACUAUUUUGCCCUUUCAAAUAUAUCCUUCUGUCAUCACCGACUUUUUUUAUUUGUCCUUAAGUUAGGGCUACAAAAAGAAUUUUACUUUUUAAUUUUUUUAAAUAUACUCUUCUACCAUCACCAAUAUUUUUUAUUUGCCAUUAAGUUAAGGACAAAAGUGGUAUUUUAUUUUUUUUAAACUGUGGUAGAUAUUUAAUUCACGUUUAAUCCAAAUUAACUUAACGAGUGGUAACUGUAGGGAUAUUUUGGAAUAACGGAGAAAUAUAUAAGGGAUAUAUUAGAAAGAAAAAAAUAAAGAUAAAUAAAAUAUUUUUAAAUUUUUGAAGGGUAUAUAGGCAAUAAUCCCUAUAAAUAUAUGUCAUAAUAUAGUGCCAUCACUCUCUCUUAUCUCACUAUUAUUAUUUUAUGCUAUAAUAGUAAUUUCACUGUAAUAGUAUAUGUGGUCCCAAUGCUCUUUCAAAGGAUUUUGUUGUUAUUUUAUAGAAACAUAUGCAGCUUUUGGUCCAAAGCAAAUCGAUUGGCGACAUGUUGAUAGCCUUUCAAAAAGACUUUUUCAUUAGCUUCUCGUGUCACCAAUAUAUACUAGUUAAGCAACCCUGCGCGAAACUGUAAAAAGUCAAUACAAUAGUAAAUUAUUAAAAUUAUUAAUAUUAAUUUUUUUUCUAUUAUGCAUUAAUAUUUUUAAAUAUUAUUUAUUUUCGUAUUGAAUAAUUAAAAAUUAAAGAAUAAACUAAAGAAUGAAAUUAAAGUAUAUUUCUUUCUAAAAUUAUUUAAAUCUAAUAAGUAAAAUGAAUAAAUCGGUUUAAAAUAAAACAACAGCUCAUUACAGUAUUAAGAAAGAUAAAUAAUAUUUCUCUAUUAUCAUCAAGAUAGAAUUUAUAAGAAAAAAUAAAAAAAAACUAAGUGGAGUGAAAGUACUAUCUUUAGUAUAAUUAAUGAAGACGUUGUUUUAUUUUAAACCGAUUUAUUCAUUUUACUUAUUAGAUUUAAAUAUUUUUAGAAAGAAAUAUACUUUAAUUUUAUUCUUUAGUUUAUUCUUUAAUUUUUAAUUAUUCAAUACGAAAAUAAAUAAUAUUUAAAAAUAUUAAUGCAUAAUAGAAAAAAAAAGUAAUGUUAAUAAUUUUAAUAAUUUACUAUUAUAUUGACUUUUUGCAGUUUCGCACAGGGGUUGCUUAACUAGUAUAUAUCGGUGACGCGAGAAGCUAAUGAAAAAGACUUUUUGAAAGGCUAUCAACAUGUCGCCAAUCGAUUUGCUUUGGACCAAAAUAAAAAAUAAAAAAAGGGAGGUACACAUACAACUAAUAAAAUAUUUGAUUCCUAAAUUUAAAUUAGCGAAGAAAUCAGUAGGUAAUUAUCAGAAACACAAAAAAUAUAACUAAUCAAAAGACAUGCGAAAUCAAAAUAAAUAUUUUUUACACUGUAAAAGAUUCAACUAUCAAAUAUUAUAUUUUUAUUAUAUAUAUUAAUCCUUAAAAAAUUAUUUGUGAACUAAAGUGAAAAACAUGCAAAGUUUAGAUAUUAGAGACCAAAAUAAAAAAGAGUGAAAAAAUUGGGACCCAAUGUGCAAUUAAUCCUUCAAAAAAUUGGUGUGGGCCCCACAACCUUUCAAAAUAAAGGGAGGUCUUUUCUUGGGUUCCAAAUUAGCGUAUAAAUAAAUAGAUUAUAAAUAAAUAUUGUGAAAGAGAGUGAGAGAGUGUGAGAGAGAGAAACAAAAAAAAAAAAGUGGGCCCCACAGGGCCCCCUGUCACGUCUCGGAUUACAGCGGAAGUCCGGAUUACGUCAACAGAUCCGCCGCAUGCACAAAGAUACACCUUAUACAUACGAAGCGUCAACAAAAUUAACUAAAAUCUAACAAUAAUAGGUAUCAGAGAAAAAUAAAACUAUAUACUAUAGUAACACUAUAACGAUUUACAAGCAUCACCACACUAGUCUUCAAAAUAGUACAACAUUUUUUACCAUUCCAAGUAUCAAAUAAUUGUACAGACUGCUCGCUAAUAGGUGAUCCAACUAUACAUUAAGAAGGGUAGGAGAUGCUAUCUAUCCACAAUCCCCUUAUCUAGAUCAGUCGCUGGUGUUGAAGGCUCUGAAAUAAAAUAUUAAAUAAGAAGGCAUGAGAACUAUAAUCAAUAGUUCCCAGUGGGUACGAUCAUCAACACUGACGGUCUACCACUAUGUCCAUAAGAUGCAAAAAUAGUAAAUACUGAGCAAUAUGAAAAAACAGGUACUAAUAUGAAUAAUUGCCGAAAAUAACUAUUACUAUCAUGCCUCUACAAUAUAGCUGAAAUUAUAAAUUAUAUUUUAUGGAUGCAUUAGUUAGAGAUUAAAUAAAAUACUACAAUAAUGCCUAAUCAUAGUGACCGACUCAACAGUCGAGUUUAGCCUACGCCGCCUCGUGUCCAGCACCCACCUACAGUGGUCUGCUACCACACAAGUUACUGUCUAGCCCAUGCCAUAAUAAUAUCUCAUAGCCCAAAUACCGAGUAUAGUAUCACUAUCAAACUCAACAUAGCGUGCUGAUUGUGGUCAAAUGCAAUGAUCAAACAGAUCAUGAUAAUACUGUCAUAAUGUCUAAAAUACAGUUAUAGUCUACACUCUCUGUAGUUGUUUAUUGAUCUUCAGAAAAAUAUCAAAUAUAUAUAUAUCUCCAUUUACUCUACUAACAGGUAUCAAAGUACCGUAAUUAUCUCAACUAUAUCAAUAGUUCAUCUCACAGAUUAAAUAAUAUAAUAUGGAUAUAGAAAUUAGUCCGUCAAUUUUGACAACACGAAACUCACCUAUAACGCAAGUCCAAGAAAAUGAACGGUAAACGAGAUAGCAGCUACAACACUCUAAAAUAACUCGAAAAUUCCUCAUCAAGAUUACGCGAAAUCCGCUUCUAAAAUGUAUAAAAAAAAUCAGUUUCUAACUCUCAAUUUCUACCAAAUAUUUAGCAAAAAAAUCUAAACGAGAAAUAAUAAUAUUGUGAUACUAACUACAACGUCGAAACACCAAAAAUAAACACGCACCCCCCCCCNNNNNNNNNNNNNNNNNNNNNNNNNNNNNNNNNNNNNNNNNNNNNNNNNNNNNNNNNNNNNNNNNNNNNNNNNNNNNNNNNNNNNNNNNNNNNNNNNNNNNNNNNNNNNNNNNNNNNNNNNNNNNNNNNNNNNNNNNNNNNNNNNNNNNNNNNNNNNNNNNNNNNNNNNNNNNNNNNNNNNNNNNNNNNNNNNNNNNNNNNNNNNNNNNNNNNNNNNNNNNNNNNNNNNNNNNNNNNNNNNNNNNNNNNNNNNNNNNNNNNNNNNNNNNNNNNNNNNNNNNNNNNNNNNNNNNNNNNNNNNNNNNNNNNNNNNNNNNNNNNNNNNNNNNNNNNNNNNNNNNNNNNNNNNNNNNNNNNNNNNNNNNNNNNNNNNNNNNNNNNNNNNNNNNNNNNNNNNNNNNNNNNNNNNNNNNNNNNNNNNNNNNNNNNNNNNNNNNNNNNNNNNNNNNNNNNNNNNNNNNNNNNNNNNNNNNNNNNNNNNNNNNNNNNNNNNNNNNNNNNNNNNNNNNNNNNNNNNNNNNNNNNNNNNNNNNNNNNNNNNNNNNNNNNNNNNNNNNNNNNNNNNNNNNNNNNNNNNNNNNNNNNNNNNNNNNNNNNNNNNNNNNNNNNNNNNNNNNNNNNNNNNNNNNNNNNNNNNNNNNNNNNNNNNNNNNNNNNNNNNNNNNNNNNNNNNNNNNNNNNNNAAUAACUCAAAUUCAAUCCCCCCCCCCCCCCUUUUUUAUUUUGUUUUCCUUUUUCUCUUGGUCGACCUCACUUUCCCUCUCCUUCUCUUUUUCUUUUUUUUUUUUGCCUUAUCGAAAGUGAUAAGGCUCAGGCGUGCCUCUUAAGGCAUGCAUGAAGGCUACGUGGCCACCAAGGAAUAUACAAAGGGAAAAAAAAAAAACAAAAAGACCCCUCAAGAUCAAAUAUUUCGACUUUAGUCCAAAACAAUUAAAUCUUGAGUUUUAAAGUUCGUUUUUACGCCUAUUUUGUACAAAACGUCUCCAACUCAAUCAAACAUAAAUUUAUACUGUAAUCUUGCCAAUUUGUUAAGGUUCAGUAUAUCACAACCCCAAACCCGGGGAGCCCUCGUAUGGGUUCUCAAUUCAUGUACUUAAUUAUUUAUAAAUAGAGAGAGUCCGGUUAUGAUAUUUUUAAAAGUAUAAAAUAUUUGGUGCUCGUAAGUUUUUCACCGUUAAAUUUAUUCCUUUGAUUAUUUUUAUCUGCCAUAUCAUAUUANAUAUAUAUAUAUAUAUAUAUAUACUAUCGGUAACAUACGAGCUCCGCUGCUAUCGAUUUAUUAUUAGUGAUGGAGCCUCCAAAUCGACAAUCGGUAUCAUUGAAUGAUUUGAACCACAUGACGUAUUUAGAAAUUAAAUUUUAAAUUUUUUCGACAUCAGUGGCCUAAUAAUUAAAGGAUUGCAAAAAUUAUAAUUUAAUGGUCAAUACGAAAUAUUUUCUCGCUUAGUAGUGUAAAAAAAUUCAAAUCAGUUGAAAUUUUGUUAAAAAAAACUUGAAACUAUUUAAAGCAAGAUCUAUGCUCUGAUCUCAAUUACAAAAAUCUCAUGAUUACUUUCUGAAAGAUAUUUUUUUCCGACCCUUCAUUCUUUGUAUCCGCUUGAUGUACGAAAAAUUAAUAUUGGAAAAACAUAAAAUCGAUUUAUAGAAACUUUAAGUGGUCUAAAACUCUAAAUUAUAUUCAACAGUCCCGAUCAUCGAUUCGGAAACUCCAUCAUCGAAGAUAAAUUAAUAGCAAAGAAGUUCGUUUGCUUUUAGCUGAACUCUCUCUAUAUAUAUAUAGGGUGCGUUUGAAUUAUAUUAUUAGACCAAAUAUAAAAUUAUUUGGUGUAAGUUUGAGCAGUCUAAGGGUGGUGCCAAGACAUUUACCGAAAAACUAAUAUGUGGCAGUGGAUUUUGGGCUCCUGACUCCUUAAUGAGGCGUCGUUGGGGAGCACCUACUAAAGCUUCAUUAGUUCACUCAUCCCAUCAUCGAUUUUAAAAAAAUAUUUCUUAUUGUACUUUUUUUUCUCCAAUAGAAGGAUUUGAUUGGUUAGAACACAAAUGAUGUGGUGUGAUCUCCACCAGGAUUAACAAUCUAGCUCGCUCGAAAUGAGAUUCGAGAUCGAUUGGUUGUUUAAUAAAUGAGCCAAACAUAAGCUAAACAUUUCAAAUUUUUACAACUUAAAGUUUAGAUCAACUCAUAUAUAAAGAAGCCUAUAUUUUAUAAAUUUUAAUUAUUAGAUUGAAAUUUUAAUUUUCAAAUUUUCUUUCAACUUUUCAUUCGGUAGUGGUGGAGCUAGAAAGCUAACUUAUUGUUCGUGAGUCAGCUUGUAUUAGACUCAUCAAUAAGUAAGCUAAGUAUAAAGUAAAUUUUUUAGCUCAAUAUUUUAACAUAUCGAAUACAAGAUUGUUGACAACUCUGAAUGUCUAAUUGUACAAAAGCAAAACCCUAUUUUUAUAUUAUAUUUAUUAUAAUUCUGAUCAAACUUUCAAAUACUUGCCAGAUUCAAUCAUCCUGAACGUGUCGAUCUCAGCGUCACCAUCACAUCUUUCAAUAAGAAUAAAACCUUUUUUACCCCACCAUUACUUUAUUUCAAAAAAGUGCAAGGGAAUAUGCUUGAUUGACCAUAAGAUUUUGUGGUUAUUUUAUUAAGAAUGAUGUGGCAGCUGUUUGGUCCAAAAGCAGAUUAUCAGUGUGGACUCUUGAUAUCCUCGAAAAUCACUUCCUUUCUUGGCUUUGUCAAAUAUAUAUAUAUAUAUAUAUAUAUAUAUAUAUAAAGAUNNNNNNNNNNNNNNNNNNNNNNNNNNNNNNNNNNNNNNNNNNNNNNNNNNNNNNNNNNNNNNNNNNNNNNNNNNNNNNNNNNNNNNNNNNNNNNNNNNNNNNNNNNNNNNNNNNNNNNNNNNNNNNNNNNNNNNNNNNNNNNNNNNNNNNNNNNNNNNNNNNNNNNNNNNNNNNNNNNNNNNNNNNNNNNNNNNNNNNNNNNNNNNNNNNNNNNNNNNNNNNNNNNNNNNNNNNNNNNNNNNNNNNNNNNNNNNNNNNNNNNNNNNNNNNNNNNNNNNNNNNNNNNNNNNNNNNNNNNNNNNNNNNNNNNNNNNNNNNNNNNNNNNNNNNNNNNNNNNNNNNNNNNNNNNNNNNNNNNNNNNNNNNNNNNNNNNNNNNNNNNNNNNNNNNNNNNNNNNNNNNNNNNNNNNNNNNNNNNNNNNNNNNNNNNNNNNNNNNNNNNNNNNNNNNNNNNNNNNNNNNNNNNNNNNNNNNNNNNNNNNNNNNNNNNNNNNNNNNNNNNNNNNNNNNNNNNNNNNNNNNNNNNNNNNNNNNNNNNNNNNNNNNNNNNNNNNNNNNNNNNNNNNNNNNNNNNNNNNNNNNNNNNNNNNNNNNNNNNNNNNNNNNNNNNNNNNNNNNNNNNNNNNNNNNNNNNNNNNNNNNNNNNNNNNNNNNNNNNNNNNNNNNNNNNNNNNNNNNNNNNNNNNNNNNNNNNNNNNNNNNNNNNNNNNNNNNNNNNNNNNNNNNNNNNNNNNNNNNNNNNNNNNNNNNNNNNNNNNNNNNNNNNNNNNNNNNNNNNNNNNNNNNNNNNNNNNNNNNNNNNNNNNNNNNNNNNNNNNNNNNNNNNNNNNNNNNNNNNNNNNNNNNNNNNNNNNNNNNNNNNNNNNNNNNNNNNNNNNNNNNNNNNNNNNNNNNNNNNNNNNNNNNNNNNNNNNNNNNNNNNNNNNNNNNNNNNNNNNNNNNNNNNNNNNNNNNNNNNNNNNNNNNNNNNNNNNNNNNNNNNNNNNNNNNNNNNNNNNNNNNNNNNNNNNNNNNNNNNNNNNNNNNNNNNNNNNNNNNNNNNNNNNNNNNNNNNNNNNNNNNNNNNNNNNNNNNNNNNNNNNNNNNNNNNNNNNNNNNNNNNNNNNNNNNNNNNNNNNNNNNNNNNNNNNNNNNNNNNNNNNNNNNNNNNNNNNNNNNNNNNNNNNNNNNNNNNNNNNNNNNNNNNNNNNNNNNNNNNNNNNNNNNNNNNNNNNNNNNNNNNNNNNNNNNNNNNNNNNNNNNNNNNNNNNNNNNNNNNNNNNNNNNNNNNNNNNNNNNNNNNNNNNNNNNNNNNNNNNNNNNNNNNNNNNNNNNNNNNNNNNNNNNNNNNNNNNNNNNNNNNNNNNNNNNNNNNNNNNNNNNNNNNNNNNNNNNNNNNNNNNNNNNNNNNNNNNNNNNNNNNNNNNNNNNNNNNNNNNNNNNNNNNNNNNNNNNNNNNNNNNNNNNNNNNNNNNNNNNNNNNNNNNNNNNNNNNNNNNNNNNNNNNNNNNNNNNNNNNNNNNNNNNNNNNNNNAGAGAGAGAGAGCGAGAGAGAGAGAGAGAGAGAGUUGAGCUAAAAUAUUAUCGAUAGCAAACGAACUCUGUUGCCACCCAUUUAUUUUCGAUGAUGGAGUCUCCAAAUUGAUGAUCGGCACCGUUGAAAAUAAUCUAUACCACUUAAAGUGUUUAAAAAUCAAAUUUCAUACAUUUCCGAUAUUGUUCUCUUAUCCAUCGAGUGGACACAAAAAUGAACGGCUGAAAAUGAAUAUUCUUUAAAAAAUGAUGAUAGGAGUCUUGUAAUCAAGAUUAAGAGUAUAGAUCUUGUUUUAAAUAGUUUAAAGAAUUUUCUAACAAAAAUUCAAUUGAUUUGGAUAUCUUUACGCCGUUAAACGAAAAAAACUUCAUAUCGACUAUUAAAAUUAUAAAUUUUGGAACCCUUUAAUCAUUAGGCAAAUGAUAUCGAAAAAAUUUGAAAUUUGAUUUCUAAAUACUUCAAGUGGUAUAGUUCAUGUUCAACGGUGCCGAUCGUCGAUUUUGAGGCUCUAUCAUCGAAAACAAAUGAAUGGCAACGGAGCCCAUUUGCUAUCGAUAGUAUUCUAGCUCAACUCUCUCUCUCUCUCUCUCUCUCUCAUUAUAUUGUAUAUAUUAUUAUAUAUAUUCAUAGUUCGGCCUAUUAUGCUAUUAAUACACGAAGCACUUGGUGCUACAAGUUUUCCACCGUCUUAGAGUCUACCUUUUGAAUCAAUUUUCACACCGUUAGAUUAUAUUCAACAACCACCGCACUCACCCUGAGGUGCGUGUAGAUCUACUGACAUGAUCGACUUGGUGCUAUUAAUAUAUAAUUAGCUACAUAUAAUAUAUAUAUAUAUAUUAAAUAUAUUAUAUUAUAUAUAUAUAUAUAUAUUAUAUAUAUUAAUAUAGUAGACCUAGGCUACUAUGCUAUGCUUAUGGAAUAGCCAUCGAAGUGUCACGCUCCCGGGGUCCCUUUUAGUCUAAAAUAAAGCGGAAAAGCGCAGAAAUUUUUUUUCUUGAAAAAUUGACCCAGAGAGUAUGCCAGAUCCGCGCAGAACUACAGGAAAUCCACUAUUCACCGGACAGAGUCUCACCCUGUAUUUGCACGGGCGUCGCACAAGUACAAGAAGGUUCCAGGCACUAACCACAACAAAUGAAAUACAAAUAACAAGCCGUUAUAUUAUAUUCAUACACAUUCACCACAGAUUCACAUUUAUGCAUAAAUACACUAUCAGUUUAAAUGUUUCAUCAACCACAGAAGAUAGGUUUUGAAUUACUAAGAUACAAAAUCACAGAAAAACUUUUUGAAACGUGUUCCCUAACACGGGAAGUUUAUCGUUUUUAAAAAAACGCUUAUCCACGAGGGUAGAAAAUCUUUUAUUUUACAAAAUCCAGACUUCUUUUAUUUAACGCUAAUGAAAUACCGAACCACAUAAACCAUACUAAACAUAUACAAUCAACGAAAUAAUAGGUGCAUAAUAAUUAAACGAAAUAAUCUGGGUCGGAGCUCUAUCGACCGUAUGUAUCUCACGUCUCGUCUCAACCCUCACCGUUCGCGAUACCCUGAAAAAAUAGUGGGGGAGGUGGAGAACAUAUUAAACAUGUUCUCCCUGCCCAAGUGGUACGCAAGCGAGAUAGGCGAGGAGUACUCACCGGACAGGAAGAGCUAUACAACAACACGGUGUCAGUGGGAAUAUUAGUAUUAAAUAAUAAACGAAAGCAGGUAUGUAGAGCUGACAAGUAUAGGAUGCAGGUAAAUUAAAAUAGUUAGCCAUACAAUAAACAAGAUAAGGACGUACUGGAAUAACAUACAGCUACUAUAUGCAUGCGUCAACUUGACUGAAUAACUUCAAAAGUACCCAAUCUCGCUGCCCUAUUGGUCUGAGAGACCUCAGGCCCAUGGCCACUACUUACUCAACCUGUACCUGACCGCUCGCAAUGAAGUCGCUGGGCCACUGGCAGAAGCAUAUACCCUCGCAAUAAAGCGUCUUGGGCUCCGCUGUUGGCAAUCCAACCACUGUUUCCGAAAAACAACACCCUUUGCGGUGGAUCAGACGCUGAGUGUUCGUUGAAGGUACCUAGUAGCGAUCAAUGUAGUAUGCUCAAAGAUCUUCCAUCGGCAACUAGCCGACAAUCCAGCCCCUCAGGGCACACCGACCGUAUAGGCCAUCAGCAACUAGUAGGCUACGUAUGUCAAGAUAGAACUGUAGCAACUCAACCGAAUAGGUCAUAAAUAUCAAAAUAGGGGAACCGCCCAACCAAAUAACAGAUAUAGUGAACAUAUAAGUCAACUCUACUCCUAAGCAUGAUAUCAACAUGGAACUAACUGAGUAGAGGAAUGCAGAUAUAAAAGCAGGUGCAAGGCUCAAUAUGUAUAUGCACACAGAUAAUAGUAAGAGGGCAAGGGUAAGAAACCAUCACCGAACGUGCACCACUGUACCGACGUCGGAUCGAAGUAUCCACAUGUACAACUGUCGCGCCUGUCUCCUGACUGCAAAAGAACGUCAACAGGACCUAAGGAAGGUCCUCUGGAUUAGUGUCUAAUCCACAACUAAGAAAUACUACAUCGUAAUCCCGCUAACAAACCCACGGAGAUCACUUUCCCAAAACCGACUACCGUAACUCGCCGGAAGUCCCGAAAAUCGCACCGGAACUCAUCGAGACCCACGAACUGUCCCGAAAUGUACCGACUCAAGAUACGAGUCACCCGCUGCCACUAAAUACAAAUUACAUGUGACUUGGCAGCAGAGACCUUAACUCACUCCAAAACGAUUAUCGUCGGGUAAUCGUUCCGAUCCGGAUUUCCGGAGGUGUUUAUUUCGACACCGGAAUCCACCGUCGCUCACCCGUCAUUUCUGAACUCUCGAAAUGACGCGAGUGACCAGCCAACAAGGCUCAGCGACUACACAAUAGCUCACGAAGCACCGUCGGAAUAAUUCCGAACCAAAACCAUGUUCCGUCGGCGGAUUUUGCCGACAAACGCACCGGAAUGCAUUUUCGAUCUUCGCAAAGGUCCGGGGCCUUGGACAAUCAGUCCAGAGGUCACCCACAACUCAUCCAUGCUGCCGACAGCAGCCGCGACGAACAAAGUUGCAUAAAAGCCCUUCCGAAUACCCAAAAUCGCAUUAUUUCAUGCGAUUUCGGCGCUUUUAUGGUCCGUCCAUGCAAACCAGAGGUCAAUCAGCCAAGCCAAGAUACCCACUGACAGGUUUCGACGUGCCGGAGGCCGUGCUUACCUUUCGGAGCAAUUUUGGCCACUGUAGAGAGCGCGGGGGUGACGCGAAAGUCUGCGAAUAGCGCGCACAGUAUGAAAAGCAUGCUUAUCUCGCUAACCAGGGUCUCGCUGACCCUAAUUGAGGUGAGCACUGUGAUCAGCACUGACAAAUGAUCACCGUGCUCACUUCUGGAGGCAUCGGAACAGCCUCGGGUCGCCGGAACAGUAUACACAACCCCAAACAGUGCACAAUAAUUGCAAUACAAGCUUACCGGAGCUAGGCAGGGCUCGGGGUGGCCGGCGGCGGCCGGACGGCGGGCAGGCCGGCCAAGGGAAGGUGCUCCAGGUCAGAGGAGGCCAGGGCUCGCGUCAACAGGCGACGGGAGGCGGCGAUGACGGCGGGCAACGAUGCGCUAGUUGCACAACCCGAGGAGAGCAUGGGCUCACCACGGUUGACAGGGAGCUCCGGCGGCGGGUUAGCCGGCGGUGGACGGGUGCGGCCGGCCAGGCGGAGCCGGUGCUCACGCCGGACGGCGGCGGCGCCGGUGCUGGAUGUGGCUCGGUCUACACAAAGCCCAACCGGGCUGAGCCGAACAAGACGGCGGCGCUGGCGGCCGGGGGAGGUCGGGGGUGCACAUGGGCGACGGCGGUGGUUCGCCGGAGGCCGAGGGAAGGCGGCGCAGUCGAUCUGGAGAGGCGGCGGCGCGCGGGCCUCGAGCCCACCGUGCUCGGUUUGGGUUGACCGAGGGUGGCCGCUGGGAGCAGGGGCGGCGCCGGCGGGGACGGCGCCGGGGAGUUCCAGGAGGGUGGCGCUUCCAAUCCUGAGCGGCAGCAGGGCGAGGAGGAGGAGAUCCCACCACCUCGGCCAGAUCUGCUCAGAUCUGGCCGCAACUGGCCAGGGUGGUGGUGGCGGCGCUCGGGGGCGGCCGGGACGGCGGCGGCCGGCGGCGAUGAUGUUGGAGAAUGGUCUCGGCCAGAGGGUGGAGUCCGAGGGUGUGGGUUCACCCUGGUAGCAGCACAAGUGGGGGGUGAAGGGUGGUGAAGCAAGGAACAAUGGAGAGGUGGAGGAGCAGCCAGCUCCGGCGGCCGGCGGCGUGCUCUGGUGGCCGGAGCGCGCGCGGGGAGAGCAGGGGAACGUGAGGGAGGCGGUUAAGGAAGAGGAGGGGACCCAGGGUUAGGGUUUCAUGGUGACCUAACUCUAUGAUAUAUGUACAAUUACAGAAAAACCCACCUCAGCCCUAUUUUUAUAAUUUAGUCCCUGCCAUUGCGCGUAACUUGCGCAUACGCACCACCACGCUCGAUCUCAAGCGAUUCGGUACAUAAAAUACAAUGACUUUUGCGAAGUUUCCGAUUUGCCACCUUCGACCCCUCAGUGAACAUUUCGCGUUUCCCGAAAAUCCAUCCGUCGGAUUUUCGAUCUGACAGUGCCAUCGCGUUCAGCACGACGGGGACAUCGAAACUACGAUUUCGUUUCAUCCGAUUUGCUUGCCGAUUUGCGACAAAAUCUGACCUCUCUCCAACUAACCUAUAUAUCAUACAUAGGCCUUGGUGGAAACCCGAAAUCCUUUAAUUCAAACUCGUAUUUGAAUUCCCUGCCACCAGUAGGUACUUGAAACAUCUCUCACCCAUCUCCAGAUCACUUGUACAAAGCACGAGGAGUUUUAAAAUGCACGAAUAGCAAAGAGCGGAAACCCUCUUUUUGUUAAAACUCCUUUUUCUCGAAAACCGUGCGUCAAAUCCAAAAUCCGUCAGUGCCAUUGGUUCCAGAAUAGUUGAGCCAAUCAAAACGAGCUAUUGGAUCACUAUGAAUGGAGUCCGAUACGCGCCGAAAGCCAACUCUACUCCGUGGCUUCUUCGGAAAACCGGAGUUACUAUUCACUUAAGUGAAAACUAAUAAUUGCGUAACUUCUCCAUUCUAGCUCAUUUUCUCCUGAAACUUGACGAGUACUUAUGUAAUUAAAUUACACACAUAAAUAUCGUCAACAGAGAGUUUAGUUACACUGUCAAAAUCUCAGUCGUUACACCAAGUCAUUUGUGCUAUCAAAUUUUUGGCCAUUGGAUUAAGAGAUGUGUGGUUAGGAUGAUGUGGGCCCCCUAGGGUUGAGUGGGUGGUUGGUUGAAUAGUAUAAUCUAACGGGUGAAAAUGAUCAAAAGGGUAGAUCUAAGCGGAAAACUUGGUAGUAUCAAUUGCUUCGUGCUAUUAAUAGCACGCCGGACUAUAUAUAUAUAUAUAUAUAUAUAUAUAUAUAUAUAUAUAUAUAUAUAUAUAUAUAGAGAGAGAGAGAGAGAGAGAGAGAGAGAGAGAGAGAGUUGAGCUAGAAUGCUAUGGGUAGCAAACGUGCUCCGUUGCUUUCGAUGAUGGAGCUUUCAAAUUGACGAUCGGCACCAUUGAACAUGAUCUAUAUCACUUGAAGUAUCUAGAAAUUAAAUUUCAAAUCUUUUCGACAUCAUUUACCUAAUGAUCAAAAGGUUUCAAAAUUAGUAAUUUUAAUGGUUGAUAAGAGGGAUUUUCUCGUUUAACGGUGUAAAGCUAUCCAAAUCGAUUGAAUUUUGGUAGAAAAUUCUUUAAACUAUUUAGAACAAGAUUUAUACUCUCGAUCAUGAUUACAAAAUUUCUAUCAUCACUUUUUAGAGGAUAUUCAUUUUCAGCCGUUCAUUUUUAUGCCUACUUGAUGGACAAAAAAAUAAUAUCGAAGAAGUAUGAAAUUUGAUUUCUAGAUAUUCAACGGUGCUGAUCGUCUAUUUGGAGGCUCCAUCAUCGAAAACAAAUGGGUGGCAACGGAGACCGUUUGCUACCGAUAGUAUUCCAGCUCAACUCAAGAGUUGAGCUGGAAUACAAUCGGUAGCAAACGGUCUCCGUUGCCACCCAUUUGUUUUCGAUGAUGGAGCCUCCAAAUCGGUGAUCGGCACCGUUAAAUAUGAUCUAUACCACUUGAAGUACCUAGAAAUCAAAUUUCACACUUUUUCAAUAUUGUUCUCUUGUCCAUCAAGUGGGCGUAAAAAUGAACGGCUGAAAAUGAAUAUCCUCUAAAAAGUGAUGAUAGAAAUUUUCUAAUCAAGAUCAAGAGUAUAGAUCUUAUAAUAAAUAGUUUAAAGAAUUUGCUAACCAAAGUUCAAUUGAUUUGGAUAGCUUUACACCGUUAAACGAGAAAACGUCUCAUAUCUAUCAUUAAAAUUACAAAUUUUGAAACCAUUUGAUCAUUAGGUCAAUGAUGUCGAAAAGAUUUGAAAUUUGGUUUCUAAAUACUUUAAGGGGGUGUUUGGCCUAGCUUUUAAAAAGCGCUUUUGGCUGAAAAGUGAUUUUCGGCUCAAUAAAGCGUUUGGCAACUCACUUUUAAAACCUGAUUCUGCUUUUCAUAAUCAGAAAACUGAUUUUGAAGGCCCCAAAAUCAGAAGCAGAAAAAACUGCGUCUUGAAAUCUGAUUAUGAUUUUGGAUUUAAACUUCAAAUUUUAAUUUUUAUUUUAAUUUCAAUAUUUAAAUUUAAAUUUAAUUUAAAUUUUUAAAUUUCAGAUUCAUUUUUCAAUUCUUAAAUUUUAACUUUUAAAUUUUAUAUUUUGAAAAAUAGAUUUCAAAUUUCAAAUUUUAAAUUUUAAUUUUAAAUUUCAAAUCUCAAAUUUUAGAUUUUAAAAUUUCAAAUUUCAAAUUUAAGAUAAAAUUUAAAUUUUGACAUUUUAGAUUUUAAAAUUUAAAUGUAAAAAUUUAAAUUUUUUAAAUUUUAAAUUAUAAUUUUUAAUCUUCAAAUUAUAAGAUUUCAAAAAUUUAGAAUUGAAUAUUUAAAAUUUAAAAUUUAAAAUAUUCAAUUUUUAAAUUUUAAAUUUUAAAUUUCAAAUUUUAAAUUUUAAAUUUAAAUAUUCAAAUUCUAAAUUUUAAAUUUAAAUAUUCAAAUUUAAACUUAAAUUUUAAAUUUCAUAACUAUUUUAAAUUUUAAAUUUUGAAUUUAAAAAAUUUAAUUCUAAAUUUAAAUUUGAAAUUUAAAAUUUAUAUAUAUUUUAAUAUAUAAUAUUAUAUAUUUUAUAUGUAUCAAUUUUUAUAUUUUUACAUUUAAUAUUUUAAAUUUUAAAUUUUAAAUUAGAUUUAAAUUUUAAAUUAAAUUCUAAUUUAAAGUUGAUAAAUUUUAAUUUAAUUUAUAUUUUUAUAUAUUAAAAUUUUAUAUUUUAAAUUCAUAAUUAAUUAUAUUUUAAAUUUAUAUUUAUUGUCACCCCGCCGGAUGUCUCAUUCCUCGGGCACGCCAACAAAUCCGCCUGAUACAAGGAAUUUCGCCCUGAUACGAAGCGUCAAUGUACCUGUAGAAAUACAAUACUACAAACAGUAGCAAGAGCUUCUCAAAAAAAAAGCUAAUAUCUGAGUUUCAUAUACAUAGCUAGAACCCAAAAUACAAAGCUCACUGGCGAGUUUAAACAACUAUGUACAUAAACUCCAAAACAAAACUACCCUGCAGUAGGGGAAAGCCUCUUAGCUCUGACUGUCGGGUAGGGCUCUAGCUGCGCAACGCCCUUGCCUCGAUCCUGAUCGCCAGAGAUCCAGCAGCCGCGCACCGUGUGGCUUUGCAAAACAUAAGUAAAACUGGGCGUGAAACACUGUAAAAAUAAGUAACCUCAGUGGGUACCGCCAAUAACGACAUCGGUACCCCACUAAGUCGCUAUAGAAGAGAGCUAAGGAGAGAGCAAAAGCAGGAAUUGAACACUCUACCGCUAUCAUCCACUACACUAUCAUGCUCUAUCAACUAACCAACUGUAGAAAUGUCAAAUCUGACGCCAAUCCAAAUCGGGACUGUAAGCAUACCGUCCCUGGGACUGUGAAUACACCCGUCCCUGCCCGUUGCGACUAUCGGCUCUAUCCACUCUAAACUUGGUCCAUGGAGAGCAAGUCCAUGGCAUGAGCGACCCCCAACGCGAAACACAAGCCUGACUCGCGGUGGCACUCGUGUGCGCUAACCAACAGUAUGCAGCGUAUCUUUGUCGAGCUAACACAGGCUCUGGAAAGCAAAGUCAAGAAACCGACUCUCAACGGUCUAAACACUAACAGGUAAGUCCCCUCGCACAUCUGACAAGUCAAAGGCGAUACGCGGUCCACUGUUCAACUCUGACGGCACCCAACAGUCCGAAAUAACCUGAACGACCGGCGGUAAAAUCCACCUCGGCGACCAGCACGAUGUAAAUAUAUUCACACCUGGAAUAACUCGCUCGACAAUACUGCGACAGUACACUUUUUCUAACGGGCUUCUAGAGCUAAAUUAGGCAGUUUAUACAGUGACAGGUCGGAUCCAAAUCGCAAGUUUUCCUCUAAUUCAAUUUCCAGUUCAAAUAUGUAUAACUACUUAAUUUAAAAUAAAACAUGCUCAAAAUUCAGAUUUCACAAUACUACAUAUAGUCCAUGAAUUUGAGCUAAAAUUAUUACCGAAAUCAAGAUCUAUACAUGUCGACCAAUAAGAACUUAGGAGUAAAAGCCGAUGUAACCCACCUAAAAUGCUAAUCCCUGGCAGCGAAGGACUCCCCCGGUGUAGAGCAACCUGCUGGAUCACCGGAAACCCGCCGAGUACAGAAAUCGCCUAAGCUCGAGCUCUACGCAACAAAUUCACCAAUUCAAUCUGAAAUUUCAGCGGUGAGGUACAACAUGGAUUCAACCAAGCUAGCCUUCACCAAAUCCAGCAAGUAAGCGGCUUCGUGGAUUCCUCUCGAAGUCCUGAAUCCAACAAGCCAGUCUCGUCGCAAUCCGAUGCUCCAACGUCGGAGAACGACCAAAAUACGGACAGUCGACGAAGAAAUCUGCAGCAGUGGCCACCCAGAGCCCGAAAAUGAGAAAUUGAAGUACUUGGAGGGAUGCCCACAGGUAAAAUACGACAACCAGUACUUGAACAGGCACGACAUCAAAGAUGGCGAAAAAAAACUCGCCCGACCUCCUCGCAGCAACACGACGACGGAAGUAUGCUCGAACGGCUCGCGGCGCUACGUCGCGACGAAUCCGAGCUCCCUCUUGCCUUCAACCGGAUGAGGGAGUUAGAGAGAUGGAUAAAAGCAGCUAGAAGACCUCUCUCACUCUCUCUACACGAAGCUAUAUAGAGGGGAGUGAGGGGUGAUACAAACGAGGGAUAAAAUUACACAUUUAGCCCUCUACCUACCCUCUUGUACCGGUACACGGGCUCCUGUACCGGUACAAGAGCCAACCCGAGAGCAGCUAAAUUCAGUGCGCGCAUCCUGUACCGGUACAGCAACCCCUUGUACCGGUACAACAAGCAGUCCUGCGAUGGUUGUACCGGUACAGCCUGCCCUUGUACCGGUACAGCGAGCAGAAAAUCCUGCUGUUUCGCAGAUUCUCUCGCAGAAUGCUGCCCUCGCGUCGCACGGAGUCCGUUUUGCGCCUAUUUGACGCCAACGCGACUCGGACCUGUCCCGACACUCUCCAGAGCUGUCGAUAAGCCUCCAGUCAAACACCAGGGAUCUCACAUUUAUAUUUUUAAAUUUUAAAUUUCAUAAUUAUUUUAAAUUUUAAAAUUUUAGAAUUUUAAAUUAUUUUUAAAAUUAAAAUAUCAAAUUUUAAAUUUUGUACAAUUUUGAAAUUUAAAAUUUUAAUUUUAAUUCAAAUUUAAAUUUAGACUUUAUAUUAUUUUAAAAUAAAAUUAAAUAAAAAUAUUAAUUUAUGCAAAUAUCAAAAAAAAUUUACUAAACAGCUUUUCAAAAUCACUUCAGAAAAAUCACUUUAUCUAAACUCCGCCAAACGCUCUACAGCUUUUAACCAAAAUCACUUCUCCAAUCCAAAAUCACUUUUUCAGAAAUCACAUUUUUAGAAGUUAGGUCAAACAGGUCCUAAGUGGUAUAGAUCAUGUUCAACGGUGCCGAUCGUCGAUUUAAAGGCUCUAUCAUUAAAAACAAAUGAGUGGCAACGGAGCCGGUUUGCUACCGAUAGCAUUCCAGCUCAACUCUAUAUAUAUAUAAAAGUAAAAGUACACAUUCAUUAGUGCUUUUAGAUUUCUAAUUCUUAGAUUUACCCCUUAACUAUUAGUUGUCUUUGAAUCAAAUACUAUUUUUCCUACCACCAUUAAACUCAAAUUGGCUACUAUCAUCCAAAUCCUACAACACCUCCAUCCAUGGGUUUCAAACCUAAGUAUAAACCCCUUGGUGCUUUUAGAAAGUAUUCUAGCUCAAUUCUAUAUAUAGAGAGAGAGAUAGAGAGUUUGGCUAUAAUGCUAUCAAUAGCACUAGACAUUUGGUGCUAUCAAGUUUUCUGCCGUUAGAUCCAUCUCUUUGAUCAUUUCCAUCCGUUAAUUAGAUCAUACUAUUCAACCAACCACCCAAUCAACCCUUAGGAACCAGUAUCAUCCUAACCACACAUCGCUUUAUUCAAGUGUUGAAAACUUAAUAGCACCAAUGACUUUGUGCUAUUAAUAGUACUAGUGUAGUUACCCGCGCGAGACGGCGGGCAGGUAUUAUAAGAGUAUUAGAUUUUUAAUCCAAUCCAACUCAUCUUAAACAGAAACUAUCAAAUAAUUCCAAAAAAUACUGUAAAAUAGGUUAAAAAUAGAUUAAAAAAAUGAAAAAUAAGAAGAGAGAGAAAAAAAAGAAAAGAUAGAGAAACUCUCACUUAAUAUUGGUCUUUAAGAGGGCGAGGCUUGCCAUUGCUUUUACUGCCGCCUCGAUCUCCACUGUCAUUGCCCACCCUUUCUUCCGCAGCCGUCUUAGUCUCUACUGCCAUCACAUUCACCGCCUCCGCCACCGCUAUGACCUGAAGCAUCGCCCACGCCUCAGGCUAAAUGAGAAGAGGAUAAUACAUCAAAAUUAGGAAUUUUAAAAAAAAGAAAAAAAAAAAGUAAAUAGAUCCCACACCUCUUACUAAAUGAAGGAGGUUGUUAUUUAUUAUAAGAAACAAAAUAGGGUUUCAUUUUCAUGACAUGCAUAGGAGAGAAUGAGGCUUUUGCGUUAGUUUUUAUGGUUUACGAUUAUAUUAGGGUUAAAAUGGGUGAAUACAUUAAUUAGACGUUACAUGCGAAGGGAAGGCAAAGGGUUGGGCCUUUUGGAUGGGUUUCUAGAUUUACGAUUUGGAUAGGAUUAAAUAAGGUGUUAUAUGAUAUUUAAUGUCACUAUUGCUUAGUGGUUCAACGAAUCUACAUCAUCCAUAUUAAACGGAAUGAAUUUAUUAGCAAUAAACUCAAGUAGCAGGUAAAUAGAGAGAGUUAAUUAUUUUGUUAAUUUGAUAUUUAGAUAGAGGAAGUGGUUUCAUUUAUUUAUUUAUUUAUUUAUGAGAAUGAAGGGAUGAAGGGUGACUUGCCACGUGGCAAGAAUUAUUGUGCUUUCAUUUAGGUUUAUAGAUAGAUUCUAGCCUAGUUUUAUAUAUAGAGAAAGAGAGAGAGAAUCCAGCUGCCAUUCUUUUAGGAGGAUAGGGACCUUCGUCCUAUUAAAUCGUUUUUCAUGAUAGAGAUUCCGAAUCGAUGAUCAGAAUCGUUGAAAUUGAUCUAGAGUAUUUGAAUUAUCUAGGAACUAAAUUUUAUAAAUUUUAAAAUUUAUUUACAUAUUGAUCAAAGGAUUGCAAAAUUAAUAGUUUUUGACGGCCUAUAUGAAUCGUUUGUUUGUUUAACGAUUUAGAGUAAUCUAAACAAGUUGAAUUUUUGAUAGAAAAUUCUUUAUACUAUUUGGAUAAUAUUUAAUAACUCCGAUUGUAAAUUGAAAAAGUCUAAUCACUAUUUUCAGAAGGUCAUUUGUUUUUGACCGUUCAUGUUUCGACUUUUUGGACUUAAUAAUGAUUUUUAAAAUUACAAAAUUCAGUUCUAAACAUUUCUAAUAGUGUAGAUCAAUUUCAAUGGUGCCGAUUAUCAAUUUGAAGUUUCGAUCAUCCAAAAUGACGUGGUAGGAUAAAGACUUCUAUCAUCUUAAGAAAAUAGUAGCCGAAUAUAUAUAUAUAAAGAGAGAGAGAGACAGAGCUAUGGUGCUUGUAAAACCAUUAAGCACUUGGUGCUUGUAAUUUUUUCACCAUUAGCCAGAUUUAUCCCGUUAAUCAUUUUCAUCCGUUAGAUUAUACUAUUCAACCAACCACCCACUCAACCCUAGGGGACCACUGCACACCUCUUUAUCCAAAGGCUACAAACCUACGAGCACCAAUGACUUUAAAAAUAUAAUAGCGCAAUUCUCUCUCUCUCUCUCUCUCUCUCUCUCUAAUAGAUAAUAUAUAGUAAUAUAUAUAUAGUAGGGCUACUGUGCUAUUAGGAGCACAGCAGCCCUUGUGCUCCUAUAUUUCUAACCACCCAUCAAGUUUGAUGGAUGAUUAGAAUAAAAGAGGAAAGAAAUAUUAGGGAGAAAUUGGAUGCUUCAAUUCUCUUCUCCUUCAAUUUCUAUUCAAUAUCUCUUCUUUCUUUCAUUCUAACCACCCAUCAAGGUGGUUAGAAAGUUAGAAGCACAAGGACUGCUGUGCUCCUAAUAGCACAGUAGUCCUACUCUCUCUCUCUCUCUCUCUCUCUCUCUCUCUCUCUCUCUCUCUCUCUCUCUAUAUAUAUAUAUAUAUAAUCACUAAACAAUGACUACUACUUGGUAUUAUGUGUGCAAAAUGUUGCUAUUUGAUUAUUCUUGUUUUGGAUCAGCUUGUGAGGUAUUCCCCAUUUGGAUUCUUUUAUGAUUUACUUCUAUAUAGUAUUGAGAUAGGCCAAAGGCCAAUUUGCAUAAAAAUUCACUAAUUUUGGGCUUUUGCAAAAGUAGGCCACCUUCUUCUUUUUUGCAGAUUCGGUCCGAAUUUUCAACAAACUGACCAAAAUACCCUUGUUACUUUUUCUCUCUCCUCUUUUUCUCUCCUCUUCUUUUCAAUCGUUUAUUUUUUUCUCUCGCUGAAGAAAGCAGCAGAGGCAAAGGCGGAGGUGGAAAUGGCCCGUCUCGCCUCUCACCCUCAUGCUCUCGCCCUCACCCUUGCCUUCACCCGCGCACCCCCCAUCUUCCUUGCCUCCGACCCCACCGAGGUCACGCCGCGACUCUUUUUUUUUUUUUUCCUCUCCGACUCUCCUCCACCGUCUCCGACAACGAUGCCUCUCUCGCCCUUCCCCGCCAUUCUUGUCCUUUCCUUCUCCUUCCUCCCCUACCGCCUCCGACGACGACGCAUUUCGCUGACGCCGACACCGUGGAUCGAGGUCGCUGCGGCGCUGCAGCCUCGGAGCGAGGGGUCCUUAGCGGCGUCGUCGCCGGCGCCGUGGCUGUUGGCAGAGAGGGGUCAUCAAAAAAAAUUAUAGAAGAAGCAAAAAAAAAAAAAAAAAAAAAAAAAAUAAAGAUAAAAAAUUAUAGAAAAAGAAAGAUGAAGAUGAAAUUGCACUAUUAAAAUAAAAUUGUACUGUUUUAAAAGAACGUUGCACUAUUAUGGACAUAAGUUAUACUACUUAAGAUGUAAACUACAGCUUUAAAAUAAAAAUUACACUCUUUACACGAAAAUUACACUCUUUGGGAGAUAAUUACCUGUUUCUCCUCUUAUUGCACUCUUUUAAAUGCAAACUACAUUCAUUAAGAUGAAAGUUACACUGUUUAAAAAAAAAUUUCACGCUUUGAGAGAUAUUUACACUGUUUCUUCUCUUGUUGCACUCUUUGAGAUGUAAACUGCACCCUUUUAAGAUAUAUUUAUACUGCUUCUCCUCUUGUUGAAUUGUUUCUCCUCUUGUUGCACUAUUUCUUCUCUUGUUAUACUAUUUUUUCUUUUAAACUGCACCCUUUAAGAGGAGAAAUAAUGUAACAAGAGAAGAAAUAGUGCAAUAAGAGGAGAAACAAUACAAUAAGAGAAGCAGUAUAAAUAUCUCUUAAACGGAUACAGUUUACAUCUCAAAGGAUGCAAGAAGAGGAGAAACAGUGUAAAUAUCUCUCAAAAAGUGCAACUUCCGUUUAAAGAGUGUAACUUUCAUCUUAAUGGAUGCAGUUUACAUCUAAAAUAGUGCAAUAAGAGAAAAAACAGUAUAAAUAUCUCUCAAAGAGUGUAAUUUUUGUUUAAAGAGUUUAAUUUUCAUUUUAAAGCUGCAGUUUAUAUAUUAAUAAUGUAACGUUCUUUUAAAACAGUGCAAUUUUAUUUUAACGGUGCAAUUUCAUCUUCAUCUUUCUUUUUCUAUAAUUUUUUAUCUUUAUUUUUUUUUUCUUGCUUCUUCUAUAUUUUUUUUUGUCACCUGUUUCUGGCAGCACCAGCGACAAUGCCGCUAAGAACCCCCUGCUCCGAGGCUGCAGUGCCGCAGCGACCUCCACAGUGUCGGCGUCGGCGAAGAUGCGUCGUCGUCGAAGGCGCCAGAGGAAGAGGGAAAGGGAGAGGACGAGAAGGGCGGGGAAGGGCAAGAGAGGUGUCGUCGUCGGAGAUGGUGGAAGACAGUCAGAGAGGAAAAAAAAAGAGUUGCAGCGCGGCCUCAGCGUGGUCGGAAGCGAGGAAGGUGUGAGGUGCGCGGGCGAGGGCGAGGGCGAGGGCGAGAGCGAGAGCAUGAAGGUGAGAGGCAAGGCGAGCAGUUUCCGCUUCCGCCUCUGCCUCCGCUGCCUCUUCAGCGAGAGAAAAAAAAAAUGAACGAGAGAAAAAAAAAAAAAAAGAGAGAAAAAGAGGAGAGAGAAAAAAUAAUAAGGAUAUUUUGGUCAGUUUGCUGAAAAUCCGAUUUGAAUAUGCAAAAUCGAAAAAAGUGGCCCACUUUUGCAAAAGCGCAAAACUAGUGGAUUUUUUAUGCAAAUUGGCCUAGGCCAAAACAUAUUGAAAUAUACUUUUUUGAUUUUUUUGUUGAAACUAUAGAAAAUAUAUAUUAUAACUAUACAACAAGAAUAAUUUUCUAUUGUACUUUCUCACCACACAUAACGUAAUUUUUUCGCAAUUUCAAACAAAUCUUUAGUCUUCCCAAAUACUGAAUUACAACAUCAAAACUAUGUAAUUCUAUUCAAGAAUUUAAGUAUCGUGGUAUGGAAUCGUACUGUGCAUGCCGGGUCGUACCGAUGUAUGCUGGUCACAAAAAAUAUAAGUAUACCAACACAUAAUGAUAUGAAAAUUUAUUUUCUUUAGCAACAAAAUUUUAUAAUUGCUUAUUCUGUAUUUUAAUCAAAUCUUUUAAAUUUUAUUGAUAAAUUAAUUACUAAUUUAAAGUAAAAAGUUUUGAACUGUGCCAUAAGUACGAGGGUUGUAUCGUGUCAAUAUCUUAUUGACACGGUACAAUACAGUAAAUAUGGCAUGUACCGAUGGAUACUUAAAUCCUUAAUUCUAUUUCAUCCAAACACCUUUCUAAGCUUUGUAGUUUUCUGUGGUAAUUGAUCCACAUGUCAAAAACAAAAACAAAAACAAAAAAAAAAAAAAAUCAGUAGUCCCUUUACUAUCUUCGUUCUUAUUAAUUUGCAAUUCAUUUCAGAACACUAAAAUUAAGUCUCAAUUUAACAUACACUAUAACAAAAGAGUUACUUUGUAGGAGUAAAAUGAUCAUCCCAUAUAUAUAGAAAUUAAGCCUAGAUAUACAACGCUCAAAGUACAUGGGUUAUUAAUAGGCCCUCGGUAACACUUGCCACGAAUGCGGAGAGAGUUUUUGGGCCAAGCACUUUUUCGGGCUGGAAAAGGUAGAAUGAGGCCACAAUAUUUCAUAUCAACUGUUCUUCAAAUCAUAUGCAUAUCCAUAUGCUUUAAAAAUAUAUAUAGGCAAAUGAAGAGUCGUUAUAUAUAUAUAUAUAUAUAUAUAUAUAUAUAUAUAUAUAUAUAGAUAGAGUGAGGCUACUAUACUAUCGGAAGCACAGAGCCUUCCGUGCUUCUAGCUCGUUUUCGAUGUUGCGACUUUCGAAUCGUCGAUCGGCUCCGUUAAACUUGAUCUAGAGUAUUUGAAGUACCUAGAAAAUAAAUUUUAUGAUUUUACGAUAUCAUUUGCCUAGUGAACAAAGGGGCUCAAAAUCAACGGCUGAAAAUAAAAAUCUUACAAAAUGUAAUAAUAUGACAUUAAAAUUUUAAAUCAAAGAUAUUGAUCUUGUUUUAUAUAGUAUAAAGAAUUUUCUAUCAAAAUUUCACGUGAUUUGAAUAUUUCUACACCGUUAAACUUGCAAACGGCUCACUACGGCCAUUGAAAUUUGUUGAUUUUGAGCGAUCGUAGGCAAAUGAUAUUCGAAAAAUAAUAAAAUCUUAUUUCUAAUGGUACCGCAAUAAUCUAUUGAUCAUAUUAAUCGAGCCGAUCGCAAUUCCGCAGAAGUCACAACAUGAAGAAGAGCUGAAGACAGAAGGCUCCGUGCUUCAUAGCAUAGUAGCCUCACUCUAUAUAUAUAUAUAUAUAUAUAUAUAUAUAUAUAUAUAUAUCAUACAACAGAAUUAGGUUAUAGGGACACAUAUUUGGGACACUUUUAAGUAAGUGUCCCAUUUAUACUAAAACUUAAAAACACGUCUACUAAUGCCUAAAUAUAAAGCCCAAUCCAACCAAAAAUAAAAAAUUACUCUACUCAACCCACCACAUCCAGUCCAUUUGGUCCGAUUACAAACAGAAAAGAAAAAAAAGAAAAAUCAAUUACCAUCUUUUCUUCUCUCUUCACUCAAUCCACUGAAAUUCUAGACGAAUAGUCUUUACUGUCGUCCUCCUCCGCCACCGCAGCCAACGAGAUAGAGUUUCGACUGUUGCUAAAUGCUUAAAUAAGUAUUGGUAAAUUAGCAUGAUUCUUUUAGGUUAUAGCGACACUUUUUAACUGUCACUAUAUACCUAGCGACCCCACAUAUAGAAAUACUUUUUAAAAGUGUCGAUAAUUUUAGCUAGCAGCACUUUUUUGAUAUGUACCUACAGUUAAAAGUGUCGCUAUAGACCAUUUUUGUUGUAUAUAUAUAUAUAUAUAUAUAUAUAUAUAAAGAGAGAGAGAGUNNNNNNNNNNNAUGUUUAAAAUAAUAUUCUUGAAAAUAAAUCCUACAAACUUUCUUUGCAAAGGUUUGAAAGAGUACUAUAUCGUUUACGACUGUGAACUUUUUUCAUGGCGGAUACUUGCAAUUCUAAAAAUUAAAAGACUUCGAAAUUAUAUAGUCCGAUAUAGAGUAACUGUGCACUAUAUAUAUAUAUAUUAUAUAUAUAUAUAUAUAUAUAUAUAUAUAUGCCUUUCGUGAAUUGCAGCAACUAGACAAUUUCAAAGUUGCAUCUUAGCUUAUUAGAAAAAAAAAAAAAAAUUGUAAAUUUCACGAACAAGAAUAUGCUACAACAUCACACAUAUACAUAUUUCUUAAAAGUAAUAAAUUAAUUAAUUGUAUACGUGCCUUUAAUUUCGAAAUAAUUGCUACUUUUUAUCAGAUGAUCAUGAAGCUCAAAAAUCCUGGCUCCAUGAAGCUCUUCUAACGGUCAAAAAGGUCAAACUCAACACUAAGCUCUAUGAGCCACGUGACAAUGCGACUGCCAAUGAAUUAAUGACACGUGGCACCUAGCUGGUUGACUUGGUCAAGGUACAAUCCGAGGUCAUGGCAUUCCACCAGGUUGGCCGACCCCCGGCCGCCGCCGCCGCCUCCUCGCAGCCGCAGCUCCCGUCCGACGUCGGCGUACGCCCACCCCAGUGCCGUCGUCGCCCUCCGCCACCACCUGCCGCCGCCGUCGUCCUCCGAUUCCACCACGAAGCCCGGCACUUUGGUCACGACAUCGCCGGCGUUCACUAUCCGCAGCACCUUGCACCCACUCCCCUCCACCCUCCGCCGGAACCCCUCGUUCCCGAUCCGCGGUCCGCCGAACGAUAUCGCCGUCACCAUCGCCUUGCGGUCACUGCUGCCCCGGCAAAAAGUGUCGGCAAUGUCGUGCGCAGCGAGCACCGCGAGUGCGGCGCCGAGGCUGUGCCCGGUCACCGUGAAGCUCAACGGGUACGCAUCCGCUGUCGCAGUCGCCGCCGCCGCGUCGACGAUCCGUCCCACCUCCUCGCGCACCUGCGCCCGCAGGCUGCCAUGCGGAGCGACUGCGGUCGUGAAGAGGUUCCAGAAACCGCGCUCCACCAUCGGCUCCGACACAUUGUCGGAAGUGCAGCCAUCCAAGCCAGUGAGAGAAGUUUGGGAGUUCUCGAUCCACUCAAGGAAGGUGGCGGUGCCGCGGAGCGCGAUAACGACGUCGCGGCGGCCGAGCCGGGCGAUUUCGGCCUCGUCCCUGCAGGCCGCGAUGUACCCGAUCCAGCUCGACCGCCGCGAGAGCGCCGAGGGGGCUCCGGCAUCGGCUAUCCAUCGAGGAACUGCUGCGGCAGUCGUGGCGUGGAGGUGGCGCGUGACGCGGUAGCCGGUGCGGGACAGGCCUGCGCGGCGGAGGAGGGAGUGCUUGGGGAAGCGGCAGGCGGCGUAGGACGGGGAGCAGGGGUCGGUGUCGAAGGCGGAGUAGGCGGCACGGACAAAUUCGCCGUAGCGGAGGAUCUCACGGCGGAGGGUGUCGUCGAGCGGGUCGAGGAGGCGGGCCCAGUCGUCGGCGCCUUGGUACUCCGCCCACCGCCUCCCGAUCCUCGCGGUGGAGCGGCCGCGGAGUGUCGACGGACCCGAAGGGGAGGAGGAACACUUGAUCAGUGGAGAUGAGCAAUGGUGAGAUGAUAGAGAAGUUGGUGAGGACCAACCUCUCCAUACACAAAGCUUCAUCUUUUAUUCUACUUAAUUAGAUUCUAUUUUGUACUUGAAACAAUAUGUUGUACACUUUGUAGAAGAUGAUGUGUGUGUAUAGAUAUAUAUAGCUUGUGCAUGUGCAUGUGCAUGAUACGUGGGGGGGCAAAAAUAUGGGUGCAUGGGGAGGGUUCGACGCGCCGAAAAGGUAAAAAAAGAGUGGCUUAGAGGAUCCAAUUGAUGCGAUGCAAUAACAAAAUAACUUUUUGGGAGGGACCCUCUUUAAUUUCCAACAUUUUUGUGCCCAAGAAGUAUGAUUAGAAGAAUAAUAGAGUUGAGCACAUGUGCUUUUAAAAACAUAGUAAGUAGUAUUUGCGCUUAUGAUUUUUUAAUUAGCUGUUUGAUCACUUCAAGAUCCGUAUAAAAAUAUUAAUGAUAUGUCAUUUUAUUAGGAUUAUAUAGACUUAAGGUGAUAAUUGGUGGUUAAAAAACUAUAAACACGUUGAGCUCUCCUGCUUUUAAAAACAAAGGAGCUUAACUCUAGAAGGAUAUACAUUUUUUGUUACUAAUAAACAGCAAAAAUAAUAAAUAAAAGUUUAUUGCAAGGAGCUGCACCUAAUAAAUACCCUUUCUAAAAGGAGGAAUGUUACAUAUAUAUUAAAAAAAUGAGUAUAAAUUUUAUAUUUCACCUAUUAGGAGAUUUAGAUAUCUCUUCUAAAUUUAUAAUAUUAAAGAAAGAGAUUAAUAAUAUUAGCGUGAAUAAAGUAAUCCUUCGAUAGGAGGAUAGGCUUUUAAUAUUAAAAAAUUGAUAAGAUCAGUGUGAAUAAAGUGAUUCUUAAAUAAGAGGUGUAAAAUUUACGCUCAAAUUUUGCUUGCAACAGUUAUGUCGUGAUAACAAUAUCCCAUUGAAGAGUUUUAUGUUGCGCAAAAUGCAAAAUCAAAAUUAUUUUAAAUAUUAUUUUAAUGUGAAAUUAUAAUAUUGUCUUAUUAUUAGGCCUUUCACUAUCUCCUAUAGUACAAUAGGAUUGAUUUAAUAUAUACCUUACAUAGUAUAAUUGUUAUAAAGAAUGUUUUUUCCUCUGUAUUAUGCACUUCAUAUUCAAUAGCAAUUAUGAUAAAUAUUUAUUCAAAUAAUGGUGAAGAAAAAACUUGUUCUUGUUGAGAGUUCACAUAUGAAUUACUCCAUGUCGGAUAAUUAUAAGAGAGUAAAAGAGCUAAUACAUGCUAGUAUGCUCAGCUUAAGAGGCUUAGGUUUUCAGAUUGAAUGUGUUUCAUUAGAUAUAUCACGUUCUUUGACUCGUGUGGGGAUGAGCUUGGCCUAGAACUUCCUAACAAUUCUGGUACGUUUUACGUUAGAUAAUAAGAAAAAAAAAUUGCAUCUAAGAUAAUACUUUAUUUUCAAAGUUUUUCAAAAGAUAAUUUUACUUUUUAAGAGUUUGUUUCAGAUAAAAGAGUGCACUGAAAAGCUAUUCCCUAAACUUUCUAUCAUGACCGUACGUAUAUCUUACUUUUCUGAUGAUUCUAUUAUAUCCAGAUAAAUAAUCUAAAAAUAAUGAUCUAAGAAGUUAGAAAUUCAAUUUAAAGUGAAACUCAAGGUCAGGAUAGACCUCAAUUUAAAUUCAAAUAAAUAUUUUGCAUAACUAUUGUGAAAAGAAGCACCCACGGAGCUACGAUUUGUGACAUUCCGAGGCUUGAGAUAGACCCACAUUGGAUAGCUAUGGCUAGGUGUGAAGUAUAUAAACUUGAAUGAGCUAAACACAAUAACUGAGCUAAAGUAUUUUGGGCUGGUGGUUUGGACCUGAGUUAUUAUUGCUAGUAGACAGAAUCAUUAUAUUUUGUGUCAAAACUGAAUAUUAGAUGAAGGUCGAGUCGUUGCAUGAUCAUCCAACACACUUCAGUUUCUAUAACCUAAAUUGGAAAAAAGGAAAAAAAAAAAAAAAAAAAAAAAAAAAACAUGAUUGAAAAUAUCUAAGAUAGAUAAAAAUAGAGUUGAUGUUUUGAGGAGAAAGAAAAUGAGGACACUUUACCUCACAAUCAAUUAAUUAUGGAAUGACACCAAAGAGUGUGGCUACAUCUGCAUCUGACCAUGGAUAGUGGGUGCAUAAAAGAGUGUUGGUUUAUAGCUUUAUUGAAGUAGAAAUUAUUCAAUAUAUAAUUAAGCCUUUUAAAGUGUGGUAAUGCAUAUUUGAAAUUACUAAAUUUAGAUUUAAACUUAGGGUUUUAUGAUGUCUAUUUUUGAGUUUUGUAGACCAUAGGUAUUACAAAUAUAAACCCAUUUGAUAUGACUAUCUAAUCUUUAAAAGUUUUAAUUUUAUUGUGUAAAUAUUUUUAUUUAUUUGAUUUAAGUCAUUUUAUGAUUGUUUUUUCACGUUAUAAUUUGACUGUGUUGUAGAGUAUGUCAUACGGUUCAGAUGACUACUUUUCAAUUAAAACAUACAAUGCAUGCAAAUAUCUACCUAAAAUAUCACCAAAUGGUUCAAAUCAAAAUAAUUGAAAGCUUUAUAAAAUUGAAUAGCUUAAAGUUUAGGUGGUCAUUGUCAGAAUAGUACAUAAGUUAAGUAAGUUUUAUGUAGGGCUAUUAACGAGCUGAACACGAGCUGACUCGUUUAAAAAAUCAAGCUGAAAAAUUCAGCUCACGUUCGGCUUGUUUAGUAAUGGCUUGUUUAUUAAGCGAACAGUAAGUUAAAUUGUCAACUCUAUUACUUGAUAAAAUAUUGAAAAAAAAAAAAUUAGAAUUAAUCUUAAUCUAAUAAUUAAAAUUCACAAAAUAUAAAGCCUUUUAUGAUCUAAAUAGUAAAACGGUAUUGAUGUAAAGGCUAGUAGCAAUUAAAAGGAUUGAUUUGAAUACGAAAAAGUUAGAGGUAACAAUGGAUUAAUACUUCUAGAAGUAUUCUACCUCACCCCUAUAUAUAUAUAUAUAAAAUUAGGCUGGAAUACUAUUAAUAGUAAAACACUAUUUUUGCUAUCAAGUUUUUAAUCCUUGAAUGAAAAAUUAUAGGGUCGGGAUGAUAUUAGUCGGUUAGAGUUGAGUGGUCCCCCUAGGGUUGCGUGGUCCCCACUGGGUUAUAGUAUUUAAUCCAAUGGUUAGAAAUAAUAAAAAGAGUUGAUCCAAAGGCUAAAAAACUGGUAGCAACAAUGGAAUUUUGCUACUAAUAGUAGUCCAAUCCAACUCUCUCUCUCUCUCUCUCUCUCUCUCUCUCUCUCUCUCUCUCUCUCUCUCUCUCUCUCUCUCUCUCUCUCUAUAUAUAUAUAUAUAUAUAUAUUCGAGCAAUAUUGAACCGAACACGAAUGAGCUGGCUGCAGCUCGUAUUCGGCUUGUUUAUUAAACAAAUGAUCAUUCUCGAGCUCAUUUAAAGUUGAACACGAGCUGACUCGCGAACAACGAACUGGAUUGUCAAACUUUAGGAAUGGGUGCCCUCCGGGCAGGCAUCUUUAGAGGGAAAAAAGCAAUAUCGAGCCGAACACGAACAAGUGAGCUGACUCCAGUUCGUGUUCGGCGCUUUGUUAUUAAACAAACGAUUAAUCAUAAGCUUGUUUCAAGUCGAAUACGAGCUGACUCGCGAACAGUGAGCUGGAUUGUCGAACUCUAGGAAUGGGUGCCCUACAGGCAGGCAACUUUAGAAGGAAAAAAAAAAAAAAAAAAACGCAUGAUUUUGACACAAGGUACCAGGUGCCUGCUCGUGCUAAAUGGACCCUUGUACACUUGCGGCAGGAGCUUUUGGGCGAAGCAGUUUUGGGGAUGACAAAUUUGGAAUUGGGCCACAUUUAACAUCAACUGUUCUCGCAAAUCACACGUGUCCCAAAUGGAACAAGUUUGGUGAGUUUCACGUGUGAAAAUCCUUUUACUUCGCACAGCUAAAGCUAGUAGGAAAGGGUCCUACUUAUUCUUAACUCCAUGUUUACUUGUUUGGUUAUAUUGUAGUUAUUAUAAUUAUAUCUGCAUACAAAUUUAAUUCUGAUGUUUAGUUUAUGCAUUUAAAUUUAGUUGGAAUUGCGUGAGAAGGCCCAACUGCAGAUCUUAGAAUUAUGUCCAAAUUUGUCGCAUUUUCAACUACAACCACUUGGAAUGAGUAAUCAUAAACAAAAAAACAAACGUAUCUUCUAAAUCUUCAUAUAUACAUAUAUAUAUAUAUAUAUAUAUAUAUAUAUAUAAAAUAAUAAAAUUUUAAAAAUAUACUUUUUCAUUGCAUGAAAUCAAAGAAAUUAUUUAUAAUUGCACUGUUUUCUACUACAUUAACCAAAUUUAGAUAUAUGUAAUUAUAUCUACUACAUUUUUAACUACAGUUCUAAUUAUAUCGGGCCAAAUGGGCCCCAAUAUAUUGUGAGAAAGUGUGAUGAAUUGUUUUUAUAAAUAACAACAUGUCAUGUCGAUCGUAACGAUUUGAUUAGAAUACAAUUAAUAUUUGCAGUUUCAUCGAAAAAUGAAAAAACAUCUCGAUCUUUAUAUAAUUUCACUGUACUUUAUUGAUGCCAAUAGCUUUAGCUAAUCGGCUUUCAAUAUUAUACAGACCUUUGAUAAAGUUUAGCUUUUCAGAAGCUCUCCGAUGAUAGUGAAAAUUUGCGUCAAAAAUUUUGAAGAUUCCUACCACCAUUUUAUAGCAAUUGAAUUGAUUUCUAAAGCGCUCAACUAUUUUUCUUGGUAAAAAUAUGCUAAACUAAUAUCAACUUUUGGGCUAAUAUAAAAUUGACUAUUCACGAUCUUGUUUGGCUUUGCUGUUAUUUUUUAAUUUUUUUUAACAUAAUUAUAUGUAGCUAGCUAGAUAUGCCAGCAAACAGGACUCCUACAUAUUUUCUCCCAACACUUCCACAUAGAAUUCCUGCUUGAAAAAAAAUUGAAGAGAUAACAACAAUAUGGAACAAAUUAAGACUAGUAUUUGCAAAUUUUGAAUUCACUAUCUUACCUUUCAAUUCUUCUAAUUUGAGUUUUUUUUAUGGCUCUAAAAUAUUUUGCAUAUACCUCACCCAUUAGUCCAUCCACGCACUCUAUAUUUAUUUGUCAUUCCUCAUAUUUGAUAAGUUCAAUCUCUGCAUGUCAAUAAAUUAUAGUUUUUUUCGAUUUAAAACUGGAUGGUUAGUGUUAGGAAUCCAAAUGAAUCUGGUUUGGCGGAGCUUCUGUCCCAAUCUACUCCAAAAGGGAAAAUAUUUGAAAGAUAAUAGUAAAUUUAGGCAGUAAAUGAAGUCUUUUUUAUGAUCUGCGGAGGAUUCGGAGAGAAAGAUGAUGAAAAAUUAAUUCGCUUCAUAAUAUGCCCUGAAUAAAGAUUUAAAUUGUAGAAUUUUUUUUUCGAAUAUUAUUUGAGUUUUAAAUAUUAGUUAUUCCUAAUAUACAUAUAAUGUGAAAAAUAGUUGCUUUUAAUUAAACUAAUAAAAUUUCAUUAUUUUACAUUUUAUUUAAUUGAACUAAUAAAAUUUAAUUACAUUCAAUUCAAAUUUGUAUAAAAAAUAGAAAGAAAAAAAAAAUUUGUGGGGGCGCAUUCAGGGUGACAGGCCUUAAGUGAGUUUUUAGGCAAAGCAGAUUAUGAAAGAAAUAUUUACUCCCAUACAGGGGUAGGACAACCAUACUUGGUUGAGGAUCUUCUUAAUGAGUUCUUAUUAACACAGUUUGGCGAGCCGUAUAAUUCAUAGCACCUGUGAAUUUUAAAGGUCUAUUUCAAUAUAUCUUGAAGGUUUUUACUGAAUCUUAACAUCAUAUUGAAUUUUCGAUUCUGCUAUAGGAAGGAUCUAUCGACACAAUUUUUUGUGUAGUGCUUUUUUAACAGCACUUCUUAAACAACACUUCAUCAAAUAGUACUGUAUCCUACAGUAUGGCCGAUAAAGCCCUGAGUAUCCAAAAACACCUUCACAACUCAAAGAAACCCAAGAAAUCAUUUGAACGGCUGUUAACAUUUAAAAGCUAGAAAGAAACGUUUUGUACAGGGAACAGAAAUUUCUACAACUCUUAUGCAGUUUCAGAAAAGAGAAGAGAGAAGAGAUAAGACGAUGAUCGAGAAGGGCAGAGUUACAGUGCUGAAGCUAAUCUUCCUCGAAGUAUUUCUCCUCGGCGUCAUAGUUUGCUUCCCUGACCCAAUGAUCGUCCAGUCGUUCAUCGUUGUCGAUCUGGGAAUAGUCGAAAUGCUCCGUGUCUUCUCCUGCCAGGAACUUCUGCUGCAUUAUCAGCGUGAACUGCUCCAGCUGAUCCUGCAUCUCUUCUCCAGAUAAUGUCUGCUGGAAGUCCUCCGUAGCCUCACCCUCGGCGCCACCGGUGUUUGAUUCCCGCCCCUCGUCAAGAGGCAUCUGUACACAGCAAGCAGCACAAAGUUUUCUUUGUUAAGAAACAUUUCUACGUAUUCGCCAGCCAAAAAGCAUCAACGAACAAGUCGCCGUGCUAAUCCGAAAAUACCAAACAGAAGCUUUGAAUAUAGCCGGAGAGGCAAGCACAGUAAAAAAUAGCCCAUGCCCACAAUGAAUGCGCGUCGAACUAUAAUUGACAUUUAUAAAUCAGUAAGCAAAAUAGACUCAAAAGGAUCUUUAAAAGAAAAUUGAGAAGAAUGGCUGACAGCUUACAGAGUCGUCCUAUCUACAAUAUUUGACAAAAAUAAAUUGCUGGCUGCUAUUUACAAAGACGAAUUGCCAAUUGCUACCCAAAACAGGUAACAUGGCUACGCAGCUUAAGUUCAAAAUCCCAACACAUCCAGGCGAUCCUCUACAAUUACACAUUAACAACUAAUUCUGAAUAAACAGGAGCCUAUAAACAUGUAGCCCAAACCUCAGAAACUAUUGCCGUCGCACAUCUGCUGCUCAUAGUCAUUUUGUAGUUACAAAGGAAUCUUUAAUCACCUUCACUAUUUCCUGAUGUGGAACUAUCUUACUAUCCUUUCUCUUCAACCAGUUAAAUAUGAAUGAUGCUCCGCCCGUUUCAUGACAAACAGUUUGAUUGCUCUUCUCUAACUAAGAUUACCGUAAAGAAAUACUAAAUUUGAUCUGCAAGCACUCAUAAUUAUUGGAUGCAAAUCACUUAUUUUCCUUAAGAUAAACCAUUUUAAUCUAUAACGACGUGGCCAGGAGCACAGAAUAUGGUGAGACAUGUCAUGCAAUAUCAACAUGACAUUCCUUGAAUUAAAUAGGCAUGUGCAAGGUAAACGAACACAUAUAAUAUGCAAACGACGCAAAAUCCGGACACUAUAUAGACAAUAUUUCUCAAAUUUAUAAAUAUAUUAUUGUGGGCUUGAUGAUAAUCACUACUCUGUUCUUCAACAAUUUAGGUAUCAUCAAAACAGAUGUUUGAACAAAAAAGGAAAAUCACAAGGAUUUACAUGGAGAGAAAAAUCCGAAAGGCACACGCUGUACUAUGGUUUUUUUUGGCAAUGUUAACUCUAGUCAUGCAUCAAAAGGACAAGAUGCAUGGAAGAGUCGCUAUACUUUCAUGAUACAGUGAUUAGGACCUCUAACUUUUUUACUUUGAAUAAUUCAGUCCUCAAGAUGAAUUAAAAAUAUACAAAUUUGGGACAUGGAUUGACUACAUGGGAAAGUUUGGUGACUGAAAUGCCUAACUGUAAAGUUUAGGAACUAAGUCGCUAUAUUCACAAAAGUACAUGGACUAUCCAUAUCACUAUAGUCACAAAUGUACAGAGACUAUCUAUAUAUUUUAACCCUCCAUUAAAUAUGACAGAUCAUAAUUCACUAUAAUCCUUGAUAGAUAUAAACAUAUGACCUGCUAUCAUUAACUGAAAGGUAAAAAUAGUACGACAAAGAAACGUCCUCAGAUUCAUGACAACCAAAAUUUGGAUGUCUUUAUUCCAUUAAACAUAUUAUGUAUACAAGAUGCUAUCAUUGUCUUAAUAAAAGAAAUGGUUCCCACAAAGUUCUUUUGAGGAAGAGAGACACACCAAACCAUGAAUGUUUCUAAGCUAAAUUUACAUUUUUUAUUAUGUCCUGACAUCGAGUACUGGAAAGACUCAAAGAAGCAACACAAAAUUUCUUGGUUGGAGUUAUAUGUCAUCAAAUAUGAUCUAAGUAUUUCUACAGGCAAAACUAACAGAUUUAGGAUGCCCUUUCCCUUUGCAUCAAGCCAUCAACUCGACAAAAAUAAUGUUUAAAUUGAACAACCUAGGGAUUUCCAUCUGAUAAUCAGUUCGCCAUUCUUGAUUUAGGCAUUAAAUGCUUUUUACCAAACUUGUUUCAAUUAAUUUAUAUCCUUUAGAACUUGGACAAACUCCUCCUAUCUGCUUGAAUAGUACGAUUCUUCGUUUCUAGGCUAAAUUACAAAAAACACACCUGCAGUUUCUUCUCUUUCUUCAUUUGCCAAACUGCAUCUUAAAUUGCAUCUACUUUAGCCUUGCACUCACUCUCAUUCAAAAUAGAUUGAAAAUAUUGGGAUAACUGAUAAAUUAAAUGCAAAACAUUGCAAGCAUGAGUUGGGAUAUAACAAGGAUUCUAUAUAUGGACAGUUAUCAACCUUCAGACCUAAAAUAAAUCUAGAAUUAAAAAAUAAAAGGAAAAAGAUCUACUUCUCUACAACAGCAAGAAACAAAUUGGACAACCAUUUUACAGAUUUAAGAUGGUUCCGAGCAGACCAAUAUAUUCAGAAGACUGGGACUCACCGCAGUAAAAGUGUUUGACUACUAUUUUGCAAGACUUCUCUGUAUCAUCUCCAAGCUCAAGGGAUUAGCUCCCCACCACACUCAUGAUCAUUCUGUCCACAUUAUUCCAGGUUCCGCUAACAGUGAAUGUGAGGUUCAAGUCCAACUCUGGGUACCAUACUAUACACGCACAAGAUGGUUUUUUGGACACAUAAUAGUCACCAUGGGCUUCUUGUCAUGCAUUUUGGCUUGACUAAUAAUCUAUCGCCUUCUCACUUUGGUGAACACUGUUUCUACACUUUUCCUCAAACACUUACAUUAAUAAUCUUGGACCGCCUUGUCUACAACUAAUUUUAGGAGGACCAAAUGGCACAUUUGCAUGCGACAUACAGAGACAACGAAGUUUCAGAGGGAAUAUUUGGCCCACAUUUCAAUUUGAUUUGAAUUGCUCCUCAUUACAGAAUGUCAUAUUUCCUAAUUGCAAAGGAACUUUGACAAGAACAAUUAAUAUUGACAAGAACCAUUAAUUGUGAGGGCUAUGAAAGCACACUUUCAUCUUCUUUCCUAGUCUCUUUAGUUUUCUUUGAUUGGUUCAGAAUACAAUUUGGAAUUCACAAUCUUUUUUCGUAUUUAACAAAGGACUUUAGUAUUUCUUUUUUUAAUAUGUGAGGCUACAUUCGACCUUGAUCCCGUAAAUUCUCCUUAAGUUGUGCAUAGAAAUAACUAACAUAAUUUUGUUUCUACUAUUAGCUAUUUACAAAUCACAAGAUGCUUAUUAGUUCUACUAAUUUUUACCAUACCUCAUUAGCUGGACAGAUGAUAAAUUAGCAACAAAAGAGAGAACACAGGAUAACACUACAGCAAAAUGGUUAUGCAACCAAAAUAGCAAGUCCUAUGCUAACUAUUUUAACAGUCCUCCUGCAAUUUUAGAAGAUCAUAUAGAUCCUACAAUUAUCAGUGUGUUUUUCUUUUAAAAGAAGCCAUCUCCCCAAAAUUAACUAGAUAAACAUUAGUUAAUAUGGGUGCGUUUGGAUUGACGAAUCGCUAUAACUAACAUACUAAAGCGCAAUGGUGUUGUUUUGACGUAACUCGUACAGUCUAAAAGUUGAAUUCAAUCACUUCUUCUAUUUGUUUUGGUGUAACUUGAUGUUGAUGAAUUUAGUUUUUUGAGUUACAUUGUUUGUUUUGAUGUAUGUAAGUGGGUCUCAUUAUCUCCUAAAUAUAGUGAUAAAUUUAUCCCUAUAAAAUCCAACCUAUUAAAUAAUUAAAUUCCUCAUUAUUGUUUGGAAAUAAUCUUAAACCAUUGUAAAAAAAAAAAAAAAAAAAAAAAAAAACUCUAACCUGUUCUAAAGGAAAUAGAGUAUCGGUUUUAAUAUUUAAUAAAUUUUUUGGAGAAACUUGAGUGUGGUGGAACUUGAGUUCGGUACUCUAGAGAGAGAAGUCAAGACUCAAGAGUAGGUGAAGUGGAGGUUUAACGUAACUUGAAUUAUAUAUAUUUUUUUUUAUUUACAACAAAACAAACACCGGAAGUGAUGGAACUUGAGUUCCACCCCUCCACUUACACCAAACUAAACAGCCCCUAUACGUAUAAUUGGAGUUUGAGUUUGUUCCGCUCAGAAAAACCGUCACUAAGUGGCUAAGACGAUUCCUCCGUGAUGUUCUAAUUAGUAAACAUCCUUUACCUCUUAUAAAAAUCUUUUGAGCUAAGCAUAAAUGACCGCAUAAUUGUAAGACAUAAAAACAUAAGAGAGCUAAUCAAAGAAAGCAUAAUAUACUAAUAUCAUAUUAAAUCUUGUAGCAAUUUUGUUGAUUAAUCAAUCGAAAGUCGGUGCAGUUGCCUUAAAAUCAUCAGGGUCAAUAGGGCUAAGCCCACACUCCUAAGUCAAAAGUUUUAAAUGCUAAAUCAGUUGAAGUUAAAAGGAUGACUAGUUCUUGAGCUGAGCCCUUCUUUCUCAUCAAUCCUAUAGUAAUGGUGCAUGCUGCCUAAAAGAUAAAGAAUUAGUAAGAUUUGAACUCUUAAAAAUUAGGAGACCCAUAAAAGCAAGGUUCUGUACUUCUGUACUACUUGGCGAUGCCAUUAGCAGGUCAUAAUGAAUGCGUCAGGCAUGGACAUGAAUAUUGAGUUGCGUCCCAAAUCCGAACAUGAUGAAUUCAUGCAAACUUCUCGCUAAGUUCAUUUUUAGUCCGACAAAAUGGUCGGUGAUUUUAAACAAUCGAAUUCCCGAAUCGUGUGUUCUUUGAUUCUCAACAAGGUAAUUCCCUUUUAUCUAAAAAUCUAGACAUACAAAUUUUGUCCAAUAGAAUAACAUAAUAACUUCAAAAAUGGUAUGCUUGUGUAGGCUUAAGAAAUAGUACCUUUGCUGCUUCUUCCUCUUCCUCUUCCUCCUCCUCCUCUUCUUCUUCCUCCUCCUCCUCUUCUUCCUCCUCUUCCCUUGCGCACCCACCGACCCACUCUCUCCUAUCGACGCCUCGCCUCUGCUGCUCGCCUCUGAUCUUCUCGACGAUCGCCGCCUCCUCGCAGCGCCGCAGCAGCGUCUCCAACCACCGCUCACCGGGCCGGGACAUCGCCCGCCCCGCGGGGUCCUGGAACUGCCCCAGAUACUCAUGGUGGAGGUACGGCUCCCGCUCCCGCAUCGCCUCCUCGGAGAAGUACUCCCCACCGCGCACCAGCCGCUCCAUGUACGCCCUCCGCCGGUUCUUCACCGUCGCCAGCCGCGCCCGCGUCUCCUGGACCGUAGGCGUCUCCCGCACCCGCCGAAGCCGCGCGAGGUGCCACGCCACCUCGUAGUCGUUGCCGAGGGCGUCGAACGCGUCGAGCUCCUCGGCCGUGAGCUCGGAGCCGUAGCGCUCUGAUCGAGAAGAGGAGAGGUUUCGAUUUAGAGAGUUAGGGUUAGGGUUAGCGUUAGGGUUAGGGUUAGGGGUUGGGAGCGGGGAGCGUACCGAGGAAGAGAGGGGGGUCGCGGGAGAGGAGGUGGAGGAGGGCGGAGUGGCGGAGGGAGGAGGGGUCGGGGGCGCCGCCGCGGUGGAUGGCGCCUGGGAAGUAGAGGCCCUGGAUGGCAGACAGCCGCGCCGCGAUGCCCUCCAUCGCCGACCGCUCCAUGGUUUGCUGGCCUGGCUGCGCCGCUGGCACUUCUGGACGCGCCGUUCAGGGCAGACUGCUAAUAUUUACAAUUCAAUUAAUUAAUAUUAUUAUUUAUCCAGCUACUGCACUCUUAUUAUGAUUAUUAUAUAAUAUAUACUUCUUUUUAUACUUAUAAAUUUUUAAAAUAUUUUAUUUUUAUAAUUAUUUUUAUUUUACUAUUCCACAAAUCAUCUGCUCAAUUUGUAAAAUCGCUAUUAUUCUAACUGUAUAUUUUUUUAUUCAACGGUCGAAAACUUAUGAUUACUAGCGCAGUAACCCGCGCGAUGCUGCGGAAAAAUAUUAUUAUAAUAAAUUUUUAUCAUAUCUACUGAAUUUUGUGUUUUAGAGCGUAAACUAUUUUUUCAUCUUUCAAAAUACCAAAUUUUGCUCAUUUUUCGACUUAUUUUUGUAAUAUUCAACAUAUAACUUUGAUUUUUUUACUGCAAAUUUUGCUAGUUUUUUCCCUCCAUAAUUAUACUGUUUGAUUUUAUUCUUCCUCUGAUUCUAAUUUUAAAACUUAUUCUCUGUAAAUAAGUAAAAACAUAUACAUUAAAUUUGAAAAUCUUAUCAAAACGUAACUGAAAGCAUAAAAAUAAUAUUAAAAUAAUUAAAAAGUAAGUAAAAGUAUAAAAAAAUUUAAAUAAAUGAAAGAUAGUAAAAAAAAUAUUUGGAAUACAUAAGAAGAAAAGAAUGAAGUAGAAUGAAUAGUAAAAAUAAUAAGAAAAGUAAGCAUAAUAAUAGCUGAUUAUACUAAAAAAGUACUGUAACAGUAAUAGCAAAUCAGAAAUAACAAAGUAAAAUAAUAAUAUUUUUUUGCAAUCCAGAGUUAUAGUAGAAAAAAAUAAUAAUAGUAGAAGAUUAAGUGCAGCGGUACAAAAAAUUAAUUAGAAUACAUAUGUAGAACUUAAUAGUAAAAAAAUAAUUUGGAAAAAAAAAAACAAAAGAGCUAUAAGAAAAAAUAAAGCGAGAAAAAAUAGAUGAAGAUACAACAAAAGAAUCACUUAAUAAAAAGAAGAGUUACAGAACCUAACCAGCAAAGAUUUUAAAAAAAUAAAAUAGCUAAGAACCAGAAAAAGCUACAAAAUUAAUAUAAAAAGAAAAAUAGAAGGAUAAAUUAAAAGGAGCAUAUGAUGUUGCUCAAAUUUCUGCUUCUAUUACUGUUGUUUCUACUGCAUCUUCAACCCUUUUUUUUUUUUAUUUGUUUUUCUUACAUAGAAAGAAAAUGAGUACAAACAUAAGAAAAUUAAAAAAUUGUUUCUAUUGUGUACAUGUAAAAUAAAAAUUGAAUAACAUUCUAAACCAUAAAAUUGACAGUUACUUAUGUUUUCAUAGUUGGUAUUGCCGCUGAUACUUUUAAUGCUGGUGAUGCUCCUUCUAAUUUUACUCUAGGCUUAGACUUCAAUAAAUUUUAUUAGUAAUCAAUAAAGAUAAUUUAUACAUUUUAACUGUUACAAAAAUGAAUUGUACCGAAAAGUAAAAAUUACCUCAAUAGUUACUUCAUCGAUUGUUGAGAGAAAUCAAUGGUUGCAACAAUUGUACAAUUGCUAUCCGAUCAGUUUUAUCAUAUAAAAAUUUGUUGAUAUAUAAUCAUAUAAUUAUUCAUUUUUCAUCAUCGUCAAUAACAUAAGAAAUAAAAAACGUAUAUAAUAAAUUUGUAAAAUCUAUUAAAAAGUAAUUAAAAUUAAAAAGGUAAAUAUUAAAAUAAGUGAAAACAUUUAUUUGAAACUAUAUAGAAAUUUUUUAAAUAGCUCUCUAUAAUUGGUAACCAAAAAAUUAAAUAUCUCACUAAUUCCUAAAUUAGAGAAUGUUUCUAUAUUUUUUUCUUGGUUAUUAAUUUUGCCUAGUUGUCAGGGAGCAUAGAUUUAGCGAAAUGAACUAAUUUUUCUAUUGUAAAUAUAUAAGCAGGCACAUUUAAUUUGAAUAGCUCUCUUAUCCAUAAAUUAGAGGAUUAAUAGUAAUUUUUAUUUUUUUCUAAAAAAAUAUGAAUAUAGUAGGUUAAUUAAACUUAAUAUAUAUAAAAGGGUUAUGAAUAGAAACGCUUACAAAUUCAAAACCGAAUGAUCGCAGAAGCCACCAAAAGCAUGCCGACGGUAAGAAAGCAAAAUUCAAAUUUAUUAAAGAAUAUAUAUGCAGUAGGCAAACCAAACUAAGUUUAUAUAGAAAAAUUAUGCACAGAAAAACUUAUAUACUUAAAACCAAAUGACGGCUGAACAACCACCAAUAGUUAACAUAUUCCUAAGUCAAAGAUAUAUCAACAUUAUUUUUUAAAAAACUUUAUAUGAUAGAUAAUCGAAGUUACAAAAAAAAAUAACAAAUAGAAAUCAAUGAUAAAAAUCCUUGAAAACAGAGAAACUGUUGCAGCCAACUGCGGUCAGUUUCCUGAGAUGAAAGAAAUAAUAUUCAGUAUUAAAAAAAUUAUGUUGUAGGCAAAUUGAAAUAUUAAAAAGAAAUAUAAGCAUAGAUUUGAGAUUUCUCACAGAAAAAAUUUUCUAUUCUAUAGGAAUUGUCUUUAUAUCUUCAUUUGAAAUCAGGCAACAGCAUUACAGUUUAUAGUGUCAUCUAAUAAUAUGUUCUUUGAUUAGAGAAAGUUGAGGCAAUUAGAGGUUCGCAAUUGUCUUGGCGUCUACAUUGACCAAUUAAUUACCUGAAAUUCAAGCUUCAAAAUAGUUUAAAAUUUUUAAAAGACAAUUGCAGAAGAAUUAUCGUGGUUCAACUACAAAUUAGCAAUAUAAAAACAAUAAUCAUAACCAAUAAUAAUGUAAGGUGGUGGAGUGCUGACUCUGCAGAUUUCCAGCGAUGACCUUUAGUGUUUUGGCUCGUGCGCGACGUAGGGAGGUCGGAUCACUGUGAAACUUGGUUUAUUGGAUUCUAGACUUCCAAAGAAAUCCAUAAAGCCCUGAAUUACAGAUUUUGGUUGAAGUUAGCUUGGUUGUUUACACGUUUUUCUAGACUGCUGGCAAUAUUGAGCUGAAAUUGAGGAUUUUGAGCUUUUCUUGAUGCUAUCUUUGUAGGCAGUGGACUUUUGGACCUGAGACACAUCAUUCUUCUAUACUUACUGGAUUUGAGACCUUCCUCACCUAAUUUGGAGGUAGUUAGGUGAGUUUUGACAUUGCAAUUGAGAUUAAAUUAAGCCUUAGUGCUGAAAUAGUGUUAAUUGAUGGAAUUCAAUGUGUAGAGCUUGGAGAUAGCUUGAUUUCUGGUGUUGGAGGAUUUUGGUUGAUCCAGCAGGGAUUAGCAUUGGUUCGGGACCCUUCUUUGCUGCCAGGAUUAGCAAUUAAGGUGGGUGUAUCAUUGGUUUCGCUCCUAAGUGCAUGUUUAGUCGACGCGUAUGAUUUUCGGUUCUUGUAUAUCAUGCUUAAUUCAUUGAUUAGCAUCUUGGCUAUAAUAUGAAUAUUGAAGCAUGCUGAAAUGAGUAUUUACAUUAUUCAUGUUGGACUUGGAAAUAUCUUAGGAGAAAAUUGCGUUUUGACCCGUCAUAUGAUUCUACUACCUGAUUUAGCUUUAGGAGCCGUGUUUUGAUUGUAUCAUCGCUGUUUCAACGCGGUGGAUAUCCGGGGUAGUUUAGAAUGCAUUUUACGCUCGUGCUGGGAUGCCGAGCUUAUUUUUACAGCAGAGUCUAGGCUGUUUCGGGUUGUCGGGUGCCGUCGGGGUAGAUGGUGGACCCAGAUUCUUGUUUUGGUCUCAGAUUGUGCCGAGAGCACGUGGGUUUGGUUUCUAGACCUGUUUUGACCCUAGUUAUUUGACUUUGGCUUGUUAGAGCCUGAUUGAGCUCGACAGAGAUACGCUUGCAUACUCGGUUGGGUAGCGCCCACGAGUGCUACUUCGGAGUCGGGCUUUGCGAGUUUGCGUUGGUGUCGUUCGUGCAGGUUGGACUUGCUCUCAACGAACUAGUUAGUGUAGAGGUAGCUGGAUAGUCGCAACCAAGCGGGACGGGUGUGUUCACAGUCCCAGGGACGGGUAUGAUUACAGUCCUUACUUGAGUUUGGGUCUGAGUUGACAUAGUUCUACAGAGGGUUAAGAGUUAGAGCAUGAUAGUAUAGCGAUAUUUAGUUGUAAAUUCGUUCCAGCUUUCUUUACUAUUCCUGCUUAUCCUUGUAGACUUAGUCGGUGGACCGAUGAGUUCGAGGGUGGUACCCACUAAGAACUACUUUUUGUAGUAGUUCUCACGCCUCGUUGUUACCCUGUUUUUGCAGAGCCUUCUGUUCCGGCUGCUGCUACUACCGAGACUGAUCGUGGUAAGGGCGUUGCGAGUUAGAGCCCUUCCAGACAAGUCGCAGAGUUAGAGGAGCACCAGCUACAGGUAGUUGUAGUUUUUGGGUCUUUACAUACAGUUGUUAUAUCUCGCCAGAGCGAGUAGUUGUAUACCUGGAUUACAUGUAUGUAUUGAACCACAGUUUAUAUAUAUAUAUGGUUUAUUUCUUUAGCUGCUCUGUACUACUGUUUGUAGUAUUGUAUGGUUACGGGUGCUUCUAUUUUUUGCUUCGUAUACAGGAAAAAUACUUAUGUAUACGGCGGGUCUGUUAGUGAGCCCGAAAAAACGAGUAAUCCGGGGUGUGACAUAUAUAGGAUAUAGAAAGAAACAGUAAAUAAAUGAAAGGCGGUGAAUGAUUCACCGUCGACUUUAAAAAAAGGGAGAAAGCGGGAAAGAAAUAGAAGAAAGCGAUGAACGAUUCACCGCCUUUAAAAAAAAUUCUGAUGUGGCGCCGACGUGGCGAAAGAAAGAUUAGUUUUUCAAAUAAAAUUUUGAGAGGGUUAUUUCGUAAAUUUUAAAAUUUUAGAGAAUUAUUUUAUUUUAUAAAAAAGUCCCUUGUAAGUCUAUCACUAUGGCAGUUUCGUCAUCUUAUUAUGGCCUCCGAUAAAUCAAUGAAUAAUUAAUGAAUAUAGCUGUAUGUUUAGAGCUUUUACUGUUUUCAGCUUUGGGUCUAUGAUCGACAUAGUGUAAAGAUAACUCAAACAUACAUUUUGGAUUUCAACUCGUUUUAACGUGGUGGUGAUUUAAAAGUAAAAAACAAUAUCAUCAACCCCGAGGUACAUCCGCAGACCUCGAGCGACUCACCGCAUGUUUAAUGAUUCGGAUAUAAAGUUCACAAUAUUUAAAACGUUGAUUCUUUCAACUGUAAAGAAGAGGAUUUAUUUGAUUUGUUGAAAAAUAAUAUAUGAAAUAGAUAGAUUGUAAGAAAAUAAUAUAUAAAAUGUACAAUUUUUUUUUUAGGGGCAAAUAGAUACUGUACAGUGGCACAAAAUAUAUUUAAUAAAUCAGAUUUUCGGUGCAUGGUUUUAAGAUACGCGCUGCAUGGGGUGUAUAUAUAGCUGCAUCUGCGGCGUAUCAACGUCGUACAAUUUGUUCAGCACAUUACAUCUUUUGGCGGAACUUUCCAACCAGACCGAGGGCGAUAGGUGUCGCACUGGGGAUCGAGCACCACAAGUCGUACGAAGUGCAAGCUGGCAGCCCAACCGAGAGGACCCGUUCCCCUCGCGGCAAAAGCUUGAGAUCGCCUCGAUCCGCGUGCCACAUUUUUCCUACCAAUCUUUCCUUUCCUUUGCUUCCUUUCCUUUGCUUCCUACAGUUAUCAAAUGAGGCAUCAACUACAAAGUCAAAUUGAACUGAUUCUAAAAUUAAAAAUUAAAGAAAGUAAUUUUUGGAAUCCAAAACUUACAAAAAAAUCCAUUUAUUUAGAAGAAUAUUAGAAAUAGAGCAAUCGAGGAAGUGAAGCAAAGAUAUUUCAAACUAUCAUACUACCAUAGGUGUGAGAAAAGUAUCAAAGUAGGAAAUCUAAAAGAUGAUUAUCCAAUCCAAUAGUUUUUGAUGUACACAGGCUGCACAUUAUCAAACAACCCAAAAAUAUCAGCCUUCACAAAAUUAAAACCAAAAAAAUAUCAGUGAAAAGUAGAUCCUGAAUCCAUAUCAGUGAAAAGUAGAUCCUGAAUCAAGGAAAAGGGUGCAUACUGUCAAGUGAGGCAUCAACUACAAAGUCAAAUUGAACUGAUUCUAAACUUAAAAAUUAAAGAAAGUAAUUUUUGGAAUCCAAACUUGCACUAUAAAGAAGCCCAACAUCAGCCUCCACAAAACUAAAAAGUUUAAAAUCACAAAUAAAUCAUGAAAAAGUAUAUAUUCAAGCGAGUUGAAAUUAAAUUGAACUGAUCCCAAACUUGAGAAUUAAAGGAAGAAGUGAGUGGAAUCCAAACCUACACUAUAGAGAAGCCCAACAUCACAGUAUAUUUAUGCAAUAACUUUAUUAAAUUUAAAGGAAGAAGUGGGAGAUUAAAAAGCACUAUAGAACAUAGAAAAUCUAGAAGCCACAAUCUGCAGUAAGCGUAGUCAUCAAAAUACAUAUUUAAAUAGACUAGUGAGUAGCUUUAAACCAAAAUGCAAAUAUGAAAUAAGCGACGCAUAGGAACGAGACGGUUACAAAAAUCAUGCGCGCAUACAUAAUCAUGAGUUACAAAAUGAGCAGUAGCAAGGCUCGAAACUUUUCUUUUGACCUUCAACAAUAAAACUAAGGGAGCCGAUGUGCCAUUGGAUGGAUCGGUUUCUGUAUUUGGUGGAAUAGUGUAACGACCCGACCAGCCAGCAAUAAUAACUCAUUGGGCCCAAACAACCGGUCCAAAAUGCUUAAGCUCAGUUAUUAUGUCUAGCCCAAUCAAGCUUAUAUACUUCCACAUCUAGCCAUAACUACCUGAUGUGGGACUGUUGGGGUGUCACAGACUCCCUUCCGUUUAGGCCCUGACGUUCUCGUCAGCCCUGAACACACACACAAUCCAAGAUCACUAGGCGAUGUGAGACUUGUCUCGCUAGCCUUUGUCAUUCUGGCCUUGACUAAGUCUGUCAAUUACCGACCCUGGCUUAGUCUGUCAUUCUGAUCCUGGCUCAGCCAAGACUCAUCUCACAAUUCCAACUGGUGAACUGGCUCUGAUACCAAAUGUAACACUCCGACCAGCCAACAAUAAUAACUCGUUGGGCCCAAACAACAGGCCUAAAAUGCUUAAGCCCAAUUAUUAUAGCUAGCCCAAUCAAGCUUAUAUACUCCGACAUCUAGCCAUAACUAUCCGAUGUAGGACUAUUGGGGUGUCACAAAUAGGAAUCAGACGGUUAAUCACAGCAUGGCACUCUUCAAUAGCACGACGUAUCUGGACAUGCUCGAUCACGAACUCAUUUAUCUGUGCAAGAGUAGCGACGUAACAAUCCUUCACAAAGUUAUACUCACGAACCAAGUUCAUAUACUGUGCGAACAACAUAGCAUACUUUGUGGCUAGAUGAUUGUAUAAAUUUUUGUAAAAGAUACUAUCAUCAAAAUUUACAUCUCUAACUUGCAAAUCUAAUUCCUCCACCAUCCUCUUAGUAGCAACACGAGCAGCAUCAUGCUCAGCCUCAGCAGAUGUGGAGGAUUGCAACCCCCAACAUCGUACAAUUUCAAUUAUAGAUUCAUUUCGUUCAAUCGGAAGAUCUAUAUAUGCCAGGUAAGUCCCCUCUGCAGCGGGAGCAACAACACACUGUGAUGUUUCCAUAUGCAGCUUCUCACAAAUCUCACGGAACAAUCGAAGGUAAGAAAGCUGAACCGUCGACAUAGUAGUAGCUGCAAAAGAAGAAGGCCGAGGAAAAAAGAAAGGGAAAAGGGAGGUAAAAGAGAAGUUAGUUGUAAAAAAAUACCAGGUCUUAAAAAAUAGGGUAAGACAGUUGUUAAAGCUAAAACGCAACAGCAAUUGCAAAAGUAAAUAGUAAAGAAUUAGCAGAGCAAGAAUAGUUGCAAGGAAGACAAAAUAAUAGAGAGCUUAAAAAGUAAUAAAGUAAAAAGCUAAAGGAUUCAUCUUACUUAAAGAAGAACUUUGACAGUAAUAAAGUAAAAAGGGAAAAAGAUUUAGCUUAGGUAAUAAAAGAAGUUUUAAAAAUAUUGAGAAAGUACUGCUGAAAAAAUGCUAUAUAAUGAAACCUUCACAAUAGAGGGUAAGACAGAAUAGUUGGAAAGAAGCCUAAGUAAUAGAGAGCUUAAAAAGUACUAAAGUAAAAAGGAAAAAUGAUUCAGCUUACUUAAAGAAGAAUUUAAAAAGUAGCAAAGUAAAAAAGAAAAAGGAUCGGCCUACGUAAUAAAUGGAGUUUUAAAAAUAUUGAGAAAGACUGCUGAAAAAAUGCUAUGUAAAGAAACCAGGAGAAAGUAUUUGAAAUGAAAGUAAGAAAGUAACCAGAAGAAAAUAUUUGAAAUGAAAGCAAGGCAAAGGCAAGGAAAUCUGCAAGGCUCAGGUAAGGUAGGCAAGUACUUUAAUCCAACAGGAUUGAAGAACCCUCAAGGCAAACAACAGAAUAUUCAUAAUUGAUCUAUCAGUAUUGAAAAGAGGCAUGCAACCCAUCAGCGAAAGAAGAACCCCCAAGGCAAAUAAUCUGAAAAUAGGAAGUGGCUGCCUAUGUUAAGGCCGUCCAAACUUCUAUUUGUUCAUGCCUGCUUUUCGUAACUUUUAGUAUUUUGCAUUCUUUGUGCCUGACUUUCAUCAUUGCCUAGCAGAUGAAAAUAGAAAGUGGUUGCCUGUAAUAAGGCUGUCCAAACUUUUAUUUAGUAUAAGACACCACUUUCUAGCACACGGGCAAGGAAGAAAAUAGAAGGAGUAGGAGCAAAAACCAAAAAGCUAAAAGUCAGUGCAAGUUCGAAAAGACAAUAAAUCGAAACUCAUAAUACGAAAUACAGAAAGAAAGUUGGGCAAAGCCGGCCUUUAAAAAAUCAGUAAAGAUGGCCCAUGAAGAACAGAAAACUUUAUAGCCAUGGUUUUUAGAAAUGAAUAAACCUUUCUACAGAUAGAUAAGAGGAAACCACACUGGCAGUACUCUAUUUCUGUCUUUAUCUAGACAACAUUUAUCUACUACAGAAAUUAAAAGGAGAGGAGAAGCAACCCAAGAACAACCUCUGUGAGUAUGCAGUAAAGUACAAACUAAUGAAGGGGCCUGCAAAACAGCACAACUAUUAUUAGUUAUUAUUAGCAGAAUAAAGAGAGAGUAAUUACACAAGUAAUUAAUGUUUUGAAGUCAGGAAUAUACCUUCUUGUCUUGGAUUGAGGAGUACAAUGUCGCAUGCAGUAAGUAACAAAUGUGUUCAGACCCACAGACCCAUAGGAGUGAAGAGGGUGUGAGUGGUAAGAAUAAUGAUGUAGAAGAUCUUUCUUCAAAAGAAAGAAUCUAUGCAAUCUUUUAAAACUGUAACCAGAUUCAAAACUCUAACCAGAUCUGUAAAAAAAAUAAAAUAAAUAUAAGCAGAUUUGCAAGAACUUCUCAAAAUCAUAGAGGCUAGGUUUAGAUAUAGGAGCAUCUAUAUCGAUGAGGAUUCACUGUAAGAUAGAAGAAAAGCAGCGCAGGGACAAAAAGAAGGGAGAAAAGGGAAAAAUGUAUAAAAUCCAUUCAAAAUCUAAAAGGAGAAGAAAUGAAUAAAAAUGUAUAUAAAAUCCAGUAAAAAUUAGAUAUAAUCCAUUUAAAAAUGCAUAUAAAAUCCAAUAAAAAUAUAAAAGAAGAAGCAAUGAGUAAAAAUUUGUUGGAACUCUCAUAGAUCUAAGGGCAAGAUGUAUAUAAAAAUCCUAAAAAUAUAAAAUAAACCCUCAAAGCUCUAAAAAUAGCCAGGUAGGUUGCUCAUCACCCGCGGUCGAAUGGAGCGGCGAAGCGAUCCAGAGAGGCAUCGGAGUUGGGGACUAUGAAGGAGUGCCAGGAUAGGUCGAUCCAAUCAACCGGGGGAGCGAAGAGAGAGGCCUCGAAAGAGGUGUACAGAGAGAAGUAUGGGCACCAUAGAGAGAAGAGAGAGAGAGGGGAUAGGGCAGUAAUCAGAGAAGAGAGGCAGGAAGAGGAGAGACUGAGAGAGAGAUAGAGGAUAGGGCAGGCAUCAGGAAAGAGAGGCAGGGAGAGAAGAGACGCCUCGAAAGAGGCGUAUACCGAGGAGAGAGAGCGCGAGAGAGAGAGAGGAUAGGGCAGUCAUUAGAAAAGAGAGGCAGGGUGAGUUGAGAGCGAGAGAGAGAUAGAGAAUAGGGUAGGCAUAAGAAAGAAAGGCAGGGAGAGGAAAGACGCCUUGAAAGAGGCGUAUACCGAGAAUAUAGAGCAAGAGAGAGAGAUAGGGAAGCAGAGAGAGACAUAUAGAUAGCGCCUAAAAGAAAAGGAAAAAAGGUUUAUACGACGUGGAGGUGGGAAAAGCCACCACGUAUACUGAGGAAACCGUCAAAUUAUGAAGUUGUAUGGAUACUUUUUUUUAUAUAUUUAUAAUUUUUCAAACAUUUUAUUUUUAUAAUUAUUUUUUCUUACUAUUCAAUCAACCAUUUAUUUAACCUUAUAAAACCACUAUCAUUCAAAUUAUAUAUUAUACAUUUCUUCACUCAACGGUAGAAAACUUAUGAUUAUAAAAAAAAAUAUUAAUUCUAACUAAAUUUUUAAUAUAAUAUAUUUUAAAAUAUACUAAAAAAUAAUUAUUUUCAGUUCGGAUUCUAAAUUCUUUGAUCAAAUUUGAUUUAAGUUAGAAAUUUUCAAAAUUGGAAUUUAGGUUCCAGAUUGGAUUGUCAGUUUGGGUGUGGAUUUUUUAAAAACUCACCCAUCCGAAUCCGACCGUUUGACUUCCCUAACUUAGUUACUUUUUUUUUUUUUAAUACAAAUUUAAUUUUUUAAAAACAAACGAAUAAAUACUAUCUUUUUAUUAAAAAAAAAAAAAAAUCCUCGGUCCAGCUCAACCACUCCCAUUCGCUUCUUCUUCCUCGACUCCAACGCCUCCACAACUUCAUCUCCCUCCCCCCGCCCCUGCAGUCUGUCAUCGCAUCUCCUUUUCUAAUUACAAAGAAGAUGCUGAUGCUGAUAGACUGCUCCCGCUGCCGCACGCCGCUGCAGCUGCCGGCGGGGGCGCGCUGCCUGCGCUGCGUCGUCUGCGGCGCCGUCACCUACGUCGCCGCCGCCGCGGCCGACGGCCCCCCUCCCCCGCCAUCGCCCUCCCCUGAUCGUUCCAAUAAUUAUGGCUUCGGCGCCACCGCCCCUCCGUGGGGGCCUUCGCAGCCCCCGCCCAGCCCCCACGGGCGGAAGAGGGCAGUGAUCUGCGGCAUCGCCUACCGGAACACCCGGAACGAGCUCAGGGGCUCCAUCACCGACGCCGCCUACAUGAAGCACCUCCUCGUCAACCGCUUCAAGUUCCCCGAACCCUCUAUCGUCGUGCUCACGGGUACGCACUUGCUGAAAUUACAGCUCUAAUUUGAUUCUCUUAUGGUGAUGAUGAUGAUGAUGAUGAUGAUUGUGUUGGGGCGAGAGGUUGUUAAAGGAACUUUUAAAUUGUAAUGACUCAGCCCGCUAGUAUUAACACGGACUCAAAAUGUUUAAGCCCACUAGUUGAUAAUGGAAUGCUAGGCCCAAUUAGGGCCGGCAAUCCUGCUUGCUGCUCGCGAGCCAAUUCGUAUUCGGCUCAAAAUGAGCUCGAGAUUGAUCGAUCGUUUAACAACCGACCCGAACACGAUGAAUUUUUCAGCUUGAAAUAUUAACGAGCCGAACACGAGUGCGUCAAUUCACUCAUGUUCAACUCGAUAUAGCUCAAAUCGAUGAUGGAACAUCCGAUUCGACGAUCGGUUUUGUUAGACAAGAUCUGCAGUGUUAGAACUUUUUAGAAACCAAAUUUUGUAAUUUUUUAACUUCGUAUCCUUAAAAUGAACGGCUGGAAAUAAAAAUCUCAUAAAAAAUAAUGAUAACAGACUCAAAUUUUAAACUAGUAGUAUUGAUCUUGCUUUUGAUGUUAAAUAGAAUUUUCUAUUAAAGUUUAUGUAAUUUGGAUUCUUUUACACUGUUGAACUUACAAACGUGCCACAUCGACCGUUAAAAUAGUCAUUUUCAAGACCCUUUGAUCACUUGGUAAAUGAUGUUGAAAAAUUAUGAAAUUUGGUUUCUAAAAUCUAAAUAGUUUUAAUAGCGUAGAUCAUCUCUAACGAAGCCGAUUGUCGAAUUGGAUGUGCUAUUAUCGAAAACAACUUACAAGCAAAAUGACCUCUAUCCUUUAGAAAGCACAAGAGACGUACUCUCUCUCUAUAUAUAUUACAAAUUUCUACUAUUUGGAUUUUAGGUCAACCCAAAUGUAAAUAGACCUAUAUUUUGUGAAUUUUAAAUAUUAGAUUAAGAUUCUAAUUUUUUAAUUCUCUUUAAAAUUUUCAUUUAGUAGCAAGGCUAAUAAUUUAACUUGUUGUUCGCCAGCCUGUUCAGCUCAUUAAUAAACAAGCCGAACACGAGAUAAAUUUUUUAGCUCGAUAUUUUAACGAGCCAGCUCGUGUUCGGCUUGUUAAAUAUAUAAACAAACACUAGACGACUCCAACUCGCUCGUGUUGGGCACGUCGAUAGCCCUAGGCCCAAUCACGAUGUGAGACCUAGCUCACAUUUUUGGCUAGCAAGCUGGCUCUGGUACCACCAAAAUAAUUACCCAGCCUGCUAGUACUAGCAACUUGUUGGGAAGCCUACUUAUUUAUACUAGAGUGCUUUGCAUAUAUACUCCCAUAUUGAGCCUCUUCCCCAUCUAAUAUGAAACUCUUGCUAUGUCAUGCGAUUACUCUAAAGGCUUAAGCUUCCCUAUCCGAUUGGAUUUGAAUUCAGGAUCCGAUUCUUUAAUACAGUGCGAAAGAGCCUACUAUUCUAAAAGUUUAAACAGUUAUAGAACGGCAUUUUUAAUCAUUUAUAUUCAAUAGUUACACUGAACUUUAGGGACUUUCAUUUUCUACACUUUUUUUCUGAAGUUCUUCACAAAUCUUGCAUUAUAUAUGCCAAUCCCUUAAUUUGUUAAUGAAUGAUAGCUGACGUUGGGCACAGUUAUUGUAGUUGGAACCUAUCUACUUUUCUUAGUUAAUUCUUCUCUUAAAUGCAAUAGUUGUCUCUUUUUUUAAAAAAAAAGGAAAUCAAAUGUUGAGUGAAUUGUCUAUUCUCGGAUGCCAUUCAUUUGAGAAGUUAACAGAAUCUCUAAACUUAAUUAAGAAAACUCUUAGAUAUUUAACUCCUGAAAUCAAUCUUACUCAAUCUUCCUAAUUUUCUCCGGAGACUUGGGCUUCUAUGUCUUCAACAUAGUUUGAUUUUCUCCUUCUUGAACUUUGUCACCUUCGUAGAAAACUUCUUGAAUUUUUGCUAGUGUUUUCCCCGCUUCUCGUGUUGUUUUUGCUGUUAAAAUAUUCUCAACCAAUGACAAAUUCACUAUUUGGUAAAUAUAUGGUAAAACUUCUGUCUCUUUCUCUAAAUUUUUCUUUACCAAAUUCUUUCUCAUAAUUUCUAUUCUCUACCACAUCCGACAAAUUUUGGGAUUCUAAAAUACAUUGAACGAUGAUUUUCCAUCGCUUAAUGUUCGUUCCAUUGAACUUUGAUAAGCCAUGUUGAAGAAACCAAUCCAAAUCCAUAAUAGAACUCAAAAAUCCAAAAAGAAUUUUAGAUUCGUACCUUUUUAAUAAGAUGACAUUCUUACUGUAUCGAGAUCUAGCCGAGUUUUCACUUUUCCGUACUUCGACUUGCUUGCCGAGCCCCCUUAGUUAUCUGGUCAAGUCUUCUUUUAUCUCUUCAUAGGCUCUUCUUGCUCUCUUUUCAUCAAGCGUCACAACCACCUACUUUUGUGUUGUUUGUAGGCCGCCUUCUUCGAGGUUGUGUGUUGUUUAGAGGCCGACUUCGUCGAGCGAUUAUUUUAGUUGCUUUCACUUGAACGUCGCCCUCACAAUCUGCUAUGAGUCGUCUAGCUUUGACAUAACUAUUUGGCACUUUGGUUCUAUCUAGCUCUUUUCAGCUUUGUUGUCAUCUGACUUUGAUGUCGUUCAACACUAUACUAUUCUUUCCAUCUCUGAUACCAAUUGUUGAAAUCGGUACUUGCGUUGUUACCGAUUUUAUAAUCCAGGAUCUAAAAUACUAAAAUAGAAUAAUAUGGAAAAGAGACAUUGGAGAAGGAAGAUAAAUAAACUAAUACUUACAUAUUGAGGGACCCUAAUAAAUCUCAACUACUGCUUGGCCCUGGCUUCAUUAAGCCGUCAACUUACCUGGCUCAUAUCUCGGCCGUGAGUUUCUAAUCCACAGGUCCAUACAUAUAUAUAGGCCUCAACAAAGUAUCAAUCCCGAUCUAAAUUCAACUUCAAAUCGUAAUAACAAUCAAAUAAUUGAGCAUUAAACUUAUCUCUAAUUAUACAUUGGAAUUAAAUUUGGAUCAUUAUUCCAACAUGAUGAUCAGAGAAUUUGAGAUAUUUCAAUGGGAACUUCUUCAGCAUUUUCUUUCAACUCUGAACGGAGUUAUCUCUAAAAUGAGAGUGUAGCAGUUUUGGGUGGGUAAGUACGCAGAACUAUUGGAAAGCUCCUUUUCUUUUUGAUUUUGAAUUUAAACCAUAAUAAACUGGUCUGGACGUUUAUUAGUUUAAUAGAAGCCUGGAGCCCUAUUAUCAUACCAUAGAUUUUCUCUUUAGAAAACUAAAUCUUUUGUUUGGAUAUAUAGGCCAUGAAAAUCUCAAUGUCCAUGCAAGUUAAGCUACUUAGAUGGCCCUUUUUGUUUCUGCCGUCAUCAACUCUGAUUUUCAAUUUUCACAAUGAAACCGAACAAGUUUUAUAUACAACCUGGUCUGAAAUUUUUGGAUCUUGACUAAGAACAUUUUUGAUGGUGAGCCUAAAUGCUUAUGACUCUAGCUAUAAGCAGCUCUAACUAAUCGUAUUUUGAUUUUGCAGAUGACCAAACUGAUCCAUAUAGAAUACCAACCAAACAUAAUAUAAGGAUGGCAAUGUAUUGGCUCGUGCAAGGAUGCCAACCAGGAGACUCUUUGGUAUUCCACUACUCUGGUCAUGGUUCACAGCAGAGAAACUAUACCGGCGAUGAGAUUGAUGGUUUUGAUGAGACCCUUUGUCCGUUGGACUUUCAAACACAAGGAAUGAUUGUUGACGAUGAGAUCAACGCGACCAUCGUCAGACCGCUUCCUAGUGGGGUUAAGCUUCAUGCUUUUGUUGAUGCUUGCCACAGUGGCACUGUGCUGGAUUUACCUUUCCUUUGCAGAAUGAAUAGGUCAGUUUUUUUUUUUUUUUUUCUUUUUUUUUUAAGCAGCUUCUAUUCUAGUAGUUAUUUGCUUGUGACACAGUCUUCGUGUGCUUAGAGCUUCUUGUUCAAGAAUUUAAGGUGCCUAUCGGCACGGGCCCUGCCCAACAUGCUGUUCCGUAUCGACAAGAUAUCGGCACAAUACAACCAUCAUGCCAAUGACACAGCUCAAAAUCUUCUUUUAUUUGAAAUUAGUGAAUAGUUAUAUCAAUAGAAUGCAAAAGAUUUAAUAAAAAUAUGUAAUAAGCAAUUAGACUAUAUCGUUGCUGAAGAAAAUAAGUAUUUUAAGCCAUAGUGUGUCAACAUAUAGGUACUUUUUCAAGCGUCAAAUAUCGGUAUGGCAGGGAUGCACCGUGCCAUUCCGUGCGUCUGUGCUAGCAGUUCUUGGCAUGACUCCAUGCCACUCCAUAAAUCCUUGCUUUUGUUGUUUACAAGGCUAAACUUCAAAAUCGGCACUGUGGUAUAGUGCAUUUUCGCGUUGGUGCACUAUGGAUUCUUUUCUAUCACAUAGGUGCCCUGAGUUUGGUAUUGAAAUUAUUCCUCAAGGACCUUUUUUCUAGCCCUGUUGGUAUUUGUGUGUGUUUCCAGUUCAAAUCGUUGUUGGCUCGGUUUUUUUAAGUCUAAACUCAACCGAGAACCCGAAUGCAAGCCCAUCUUAUAAGGGGUUUCUGAUUAAGUUUGAAUCAGAACACGACCUAAGCCCUGACCUAACACGACCCAACCUGUUUAUAUAUAUAUAUAUAUAUAUAUAUAUAUAUAUAUAUAUAUCCGAUCCCAACUAAAAACUUUUGAAGCUCUAAAUCGGGCACCUAAAUUAUACAGAGGAAAUCAAAGGAUGCUGACAUAUUCAUGGGCUAUACUAUUGGAUCAUUUUCUGAAGUUAAUGCUCGUUAUAAACAGAUCCUCCACUUAUAAAGAAUUGUCUAAGAAAGUUUAUAAGUAUUUAAAUUACAGUUUUCAGUUCACUAAAUGUGAACAACUAGCCAAAUGUAAUCAUCAACUUUUUUCUAUUGUUGACUAUGCAGCUGCAAUCUUAACACUCACCUCAAGAUAAAACUUAUCAAUAUGUAUUGUUUAUAUCAAGAAUUUCCACCAUUAGAAUUGCAUUUGAGAUGGUGAAUGAUGUAGAUGAAUUUAAUUUGUUUGGUACUUAUGUAGUAGAGGAGGCUAAUUGUCUUUUUGGUCAAAUAAACUUGAGUUCGGAUAUGUCCAUUUCAUUAAUCCAAAUGCCAUUAGUUUAUGUAUACAGUGGGAACUCCUUGUCAAUUGGGCUUGGAAACAGUUCGUUCGACGCUCAAAAUUGUUUACUUAAAGGGGCCAACAUCCUGCCCUGUGGUGGGAGGCUAGGUUGGGCCAAGUCACGUUCGAAAUGGCGGGAAGUCGAGUUGGGCCGGAUCAUGUUCAAAGUGGUGCGAUGUUGGUUGGGUCGAGACACAAUCGAGACCUGUAGGCGCUGUAUCUAUACGUUUAAGUGAAUUAGUUGUGUUUUUCUAACAGCUCGAGCUUUUGGGCUUAAUGGCUAACGCCAACGAUCAGACAAAAAUGUCAUAGAAGCUCUUUACUUGGAAGUUCUAACUAUCUUCACUAACAAACUUAGAAAAUUAGGCCUUGUUUGGUUACACUUCUCUUUUCCUUUUAAUUUUUAAUCACAAAUUCUGUGGGAUAGAGUUUUCCGAUGUUUGAUGACGUUUUGGUUCUCGUUUCUGUUGGUUAGCAUGCAAACUCAUCUUCUUAAGAAAAAGAAACGAGAAUGUUGCUACUAAAAUUUUCACUUUGUUGUUCGUACGUAGUCAUAACAAUUGUGAUAUGCCAGCAUACACCAUAGCAUAAAAUUGAGUUUCAAACAUUCUUCCUUUGUGUCAACAUUCAGCAUUCCGAUAAACUUCUUCCUUCUUUGCCGAUUUAUCAACAUCGAAGUGCAGUUAUAAGGUCAAACUUUUCGCGCUUUUGCUUGGUUGAGAAGCAUUUUGUUAGUUAUGAGAUUUGUAGAUGUUGAUAUGUUAUCAUUCUUGAUUUUUUCAGAGAGCUAGUAAGUUUAUGUUAUCCAUACUGAUGUAGGAGCGGCCAAUAUGUAUGGGAGGACCAUCGGCCCCGUUCUGGAACCUGGAAAGGUACCAGCGGCGGAGAAGUGAUCUCCUUUAGUGGUUGUGCUGACAAUCAAACCUCUGCUGAUACCUCAGUAAGUCUGUUACUCCUGAAUUCAGUUUAGGACAGCUUAUUAGUUGACUAUUAAGAAAAUCUUGAUUUGACAGCAGGUUGGCGAGUUUUCAACGAAUGGAGAUUAAUAAACCAGACAUGAAGUGUCGUUUGUCAUUCGUGUGAUGGUUUAAAUUGCAUUCUCAUAUCUUCUGCUUAGUGGUAGCAGCCGGCCAAGCUGUUGAAUUUCUUCUAGCUUUGAUGAAUAACAACUCUUUCAAACGACAAGAAACUAUGCUAGUUUGAGAAUUUGGUAAAAUGAAAAUUGAUAUUCCUACAGCAGAUCCAAGUUGAACUGAAAUGUCUUAUGACAUGAUGAAACAAUAACUAUAACCAAUGAGCGAUUUCGAAAAUCCCUGUUGUUUGUUGAGUGUUGAUGUUGUCUCUGAGAAAUUUAAGCUAAAGCUCGAGAAACUUUUCAUGCGAAGUGGGAGAAGUUUUUGUCAAUUUGUUCAUGGCUUUCUACACUAGAAGAUGUAAUCUAUGAUUCUAACGAUUUACGUCAACCUGGACUCAUUCAUUGUUGUUGUUAUCUCUCUCUAUUUUUGUCGCAAAUAUUUCUUCACGAAAACCUUUGCAAUCACUAAUUGAAGUACAUGGCAUAUGAACCGGCAGGCAUUUUCGAGGGUCACCGCAUCAGGUGCCAUGACCUAUUGCUUUAUUCUGGCGAUUGAGAAGGGUCACGGCACCACAUACGGAAGCAUACUAAACUACAUUCGAUCGACCAUCAGAAGCACUGGAGAUGCCAUCAGCGGAGGCCCCAUAACGACUCUUCUCUCCAUGUUGUUAACCGGAGGUAGUCCACUUGGAGGACUGAGGCAGGUAAUUUUCUCUUCUUAUCUUGUUUAAUGCACUCUUUUGUUCAAAUUAAACAUUUUACUCGAUCGGGCCGACACUGCAAUAAACUGUAAUGGAGAGUUUCAGAAUAAUGCUACAUUAUGAAUGCAUUUCGGCACAUUUCGUUUUGGUUUGCAGGAGCCACAGUUGACGUCCAACGAACCCUUCGACGUUUACAUGAAGCCAUUCUCUCUAUGAAUUGCAUUCAGAUGAUCUUCCACAUUAGUUUCAUGGACAGAUGUAAGUAUACUUGUGUUUCAGUGAUUCAUUAUUUAUGCAACGAUUUUAGUUUCGUACAUAACAUAGUGAAAGAUUGGGUAAAGCCGUUAAGGCCCUUUCUAGGGUUCCCAUUGAAUAUAUAAUGAAUACAAUUACAGAAAACACCUUAUAGUACAGAUUGUGUUCAAGGUGUUGAAUAUUAUUUAUUACUAUUAUGAAAGCACAGUUGGGAUUCCCCCUCUUAUUUUUUGACAAUCUCUUUUAUAUCUUUUGCUGUAUAACCUAUUUUUAAGUAGCCAAUAUUAUAAAAUUAAAAUUUUAAUUUAGUGUAUGCAAUCUAAACCAUAUAGAAAGGCUAUAUGCAAAGAAUUACAGAAUUUGAAUUUUUAUAAUGAGGUUUUAAAAAUAUAGUGCAUAAAAAUUAGUUUUACACCCGGUUUAUUUAGCUUUUUUUUUUUUUUAUUUUUGUUAUGCUUUUACUAUUUCUUCUUUCUUAGCUUAUUUUAUUUAUUUGUUUAUAUGGAAUCGACACACAGCAACACGCUUGAAUGCCUUCGCUAGUUAUUAUUAUAGCAUUAAAACACAGUUCUCUAGCAGCUAAAAUUUUAAAGAUAAAUGAUUGUUUCAUAUUAUUUUAUACAGUAUCUGAGCGGUUUGGCGUAGAUUCUUAUCGAAGCUAAAUGAUUAGACCCUGCUUGGUAUUGUACCUUUUGAAGUGGAUCUUCUUUGAAAAAUGCAAAGAAUCAGAAAAAGAGUCAUUAAAUUGAGGAAUUUGGGAUCUGCAAGUACACCCCAUGUUACCACAAGCGCACAAACAAAAAUUAAAAAAGAAAAAGUGAUCUCAAAGUAGACAAAUCAGAAACAAUAAAAAAAAAAUAGGACACAGAUUUAUGUGAAAAAAAUUUUGCAGGAAAAAAAAAAUUAUGGAUGAAAGAGGAAAGAACUUCACUAUUGGAUCGUUUGAUUGUAUAUAGUUGUAAUUGUACUACAGUGGUAACUGCAUGCAAAUAUAAAUUCGGCGUUUGGUUUGAUAUCUUUAACUAUAACUGUUUCAGUAGAAACCAUAGGAGGAGGCCGAACUAUAUCAGUUGGGACUGCGCUCAAAUUAACCGCAGUUCCAAUUGCAACAGUUGAAGAGAGUAAUUUAAAUAAAAGAUAAGCUUACUUCUCUAAUUAUUUUUUAAAUAAAAAAAAAUAUUAUUUAUAUUGGAGGUAAUCUCACCAUUAUAUGUAUAAAAUAAUAAAAUUUUAAAAAUUAUUUCUCAAGUGCAUGUAAUCAAACAGAUUAUUUGUAGUUGGAGCACUUUUUGCUACAUUCAACUAAAUAAAAUGCAUAUACUUGCAAUUGUUGCAUUUUCAACUGUAUGCAUUUUCAAUUAUACUGUAUUUAUAAUUACAUCUAACUAAGUCCCAAUACAGAAGAGAGAGUAUGUACAAUA